rnacentral:lncRNA from 1 species
CCAGAGCAACUUUGUGAUUUUCAUUCUUUAACUGAUUAAGGUUUAUUUAUUCAUAAAUUAAAUUGGAAGUUUCGAAAAAUGUGACCUUUGUAUUGAAUCUGCUUCGAACUAAUGCAAUUUUUAUCUACCUGAUUGUAACUUAAAAUGAACUAUUUCUAUUUGCUCAAUUUUUGACAUUUUAUAUGCAUACAAGUUAAAAAGGUUUUGUUUAUUUUUAUUUUUUUAUUUUUUCAGGUAAUGCAGAUUAGGGAAAAGAUUCAUGGAGCACAUCAUGAUAUGAUGGUGGAAGAUGCACUGCCCCAUGAUGGAUUGAAAAAGAGUCUGACUAUAGUGGAAAGCAAGACCGAGGAAGUAAUAGAAGACAGUGUUCAACCUGAAGAGCCAGAAGAGAAUGAUGAUAUUACUAGAUAUGGACCGGCAAUUUCAGGUGAGUUUGUGGAAGAAACAAAUUCAGAUGAGGGGUGGCAAGAAGCCAAUCCAAAAGGUAGGUCAGGAAAUGCUGCUGUUCGGAAGCUCAGCCGGAGGCGGCCUGUUCUUACAAAGCUAAAUGUCAAUGGUUGUGAACAUUCAAAUCUUAGAGAAAAAGGCAAUAGACGGGAAAUUGUAUCUCCAGCACGGGAAAAAGCUUCAAGGACCACCACCACUGAGUUAACAGGCAUGAAGGAUUCAAUUAAAUUGCAGGCAAAAGCUUCUGUCUCCAAAGUUUAUGCAAGUCCACCAAACCUUACUGCCAUGGCUUCCAAGUCGCUGUCUUACAAAGAAGUAGCUGUGGCACCUCCAGGUACGGUUCUAAAGCCAUUACCAGAGAAACCGGAUGAAGAAAUUGAAGAAAAAACUGAAACACAGAUGUGCAGUAAUGCUCCUGAGACAUCAAAGGCGGAGUUGAAUAACCAUUUCUCUCCCGUUGAAGAUGCGCCAGUUGAUGGUCAGUCUCAAGAAACUCAUGGAAGUGUAACUCAAUCUGAAACUACUGCUGCAGAUACCGAGGAAGUUCCUUCUUCUUCUAAUGAGGAAAAGCCCAUGGAAACAAAUGGGAGUAAGCUUUCUGCCACAGCUGAACCAUUCAACCCAGGAGCUGUCUCCAUGACUCAUCUGCUAAACUCUGUAGCAGCCACGAGUAUUUAUGAUGCGAGAACUAGUCAAGGUAUGCUUGCAGAACCUGCUGUACCUUCGGCUGCUGCUAGAGUUCCUUGUGGGCCAAGGUCGCCUCUCUAUUAUAGAAAUAAUUAUUCUUACAUGAUGAAACAUGGAUUUCCAAAAUACCACUCUUCCAUUAUGGAAAGAAACCUGUUGGGGCCUUCAAGAAUCAUGAACCCGCAUGCACCUGAGUUUGUGCCAAUGAGAGGUUGGCAAAUAAAUCCUGGAUAUGCAGAUUCAAAUGUUUCAAAUGAGUCGAACUCUUCAAAUGACACAAGUGAGGCAGACGAUGAGAAACUUGACAAAAUGUCCAGUAUUCAAGGCGAGGAUAAUACCUCAAGAAAGAGCAGUACAGAGGCGGAGAAGUCAGAGCUGGCAAGACAGAUACUACUUAGCUUCAUUGUAAAGUCAGUCCAGCAUAAUAUGGAUGCUCCAAGUCAUUCUUCAGGCUACGAAAAGAAGAUUGGGUAUUCUGAAAAUUCUUCAGAUGCAAUUGCAAAUGAUAAAUUGUUAGUUAACAGAUUGCAAAUGAUCCUUUAUGGAAAUGAAAAGGGCAAAACAAACUUGGCAUCUCAGUCCAAUGAUCAAGAACAGCAAAAACCGAAAGAUGAAAACCAAAAAAGUGGGGAUGGUGAAGGAUUUAUAGUUGUCAGAAAACGGAGAAGAAACCGACAGCAGAUCACAAAUGGGGUAACUGAGAUGUACAAUCAUCAAUCCAUCUGUGCUUCUGUUCGUUAAAAGAGAGAGCAAAGCAAUAAAAUGCAAAGGUGCCGUCCUGUUUCUCCCAAUUUUAUUCGAAAAAUUUGUCAGUGAAUGUUACCGUUGUAGAAAUGGUUAAAGUUUGGAGCAAGUUUUAAUCAAUACUUGAUUGUAUCAUUUUAGACAUCCUCUCUGGAUGUUCUAAUAUAAUAUUUGUACAAAUUGGUUUCUUGUUUUGUUAAGAGAUUUUGUUUUGAUCAAUAAAUGAUGAUAAAUUAAUUGGGCGAUUUUCCUCAUCAAGAGAUCUGUGAUGUUGUUCUAUAAUGGAUCUUAAUGUUUUAGACUGAGAUUUGUAGUUAUGCCUCAAAUUAUUUGGUAUUUGGUUGGUGCGUGUGAACAAUACGUUCGGAAUGGAGUUGAAUUGGGUUAUCUUAUAUCAAAUGUCUGAAAUUUAAUUUUCUUACAUUUGCAGCUGAAGUUGCUGCACUGAUGAUAUUACAACUAACAUAGUAUUUGGCAAAAUUCCUCAUUCAAUUUAAAUUUGCAAUCAACAGAAACUGAAGAACAAGCCGUAAGUCUAAUCCUAAUGGAUGCAUAGCUGUUUGGAGAAAAGCCAACGGAGACAUAACACAGCACGAUAAGUUAUACACGGCAGAACCGUAUGUGCUAGUAAGCACAGUCACCAAUGGAAAACAUAUUUGAAAAGCCAAUAGUAGCAUGUGUCAAUACAUCUAUCAAUGAAAUAGAACCACAGUCUGCGCCAGUACGAGUUUAUCCAAAGUGCUGCAAAGAAGCCCAAAAUCACCGACACAUAGGAUGCUCCAAAACUCCAUCUUAAUGCCACCAUAUCAAUCACAGAAUCGCCUUCAUCUUCUCCUCCUCCUGUAGGUGUCGCUGGUGGUGCCAACGCACUGCUGCAUUUCCUCUUUAUCAUUGAGCCACAAAGAGCCGAAUUACCUUUAUAACUGCUGUCAUCAAACGUGCCAAACUGCUCUUUGUCUGGGAUUGGGCCGGACAAAUUGUUGUAUGACACGUUGAAGUUUGAUAAAAAGUUGAGGUCAGUUAGUUGAAGAGGAAUUCGGCCACUUAAUUUGUUGCGGGAAAGGUCCAGGCUCUCUAUCAUUUUCAGAUUGGAGAAGCUCUCUGGUAUAGCACCUGAUAGUAAAUUAUUGGACAGAUUAAGUGCACGAAUAUGUUGAAGAUGCCCAAUUUCCCAUGGAAUUUCUCCACUGAACUCAUUGCUCGAAAAAUCCAAUCCAGCCAUGUCGACGAGAUUGAGACCGAUGAAAAAUUCAUAUCUAUACUUUGUCACAAAUUCUACACCUACUUGUUGAUCUACUCUACUAUGUAGUUCACCUUGCGGCUGCUGAUCAAGAGUGGAAUUGUAGUAAGUAGAAGCGGAAUCAUGAUUAGACACACCAAAUCCAGAUCCAUAUGAAUAAUCAACAAUCACUUCUCCCCAGAAUGACAGGUUACCCAGGCAUGAAGGUAUCGGCCCAUUAAGUCUGUUAUGUGAAAGAUCCAUGAUACCUAAUUUUCUUAAUUGGCACAACUGAUUAGGAAUACGUCCUUGUAGAUAAUUCCCUCUCAAAAGAAGAACAUGCAAAUUCGAAAGCUCAUUGAUCUGAUGAGGAAUCCUACCAAAAAGUUUAUUGUCCCUCAAAUCUAGAGUCAAUAAUGUAGAGCUUCGAAGCAAUGCAAUUGGAAUUAACCCAUUAAUUGCAUUGUUAUGCAGAUAAAUGUGCCCCACUGAUGAAAGAUUGGAGAGAGAUACCAUGGACCCAGACAAACUAUUUUCGGAUAUGUCUAUAAACUCAAGACUUUCAAGAUUGCCGAGCUGGACCGGAAUACUACCUUGCAAAUAAUUUUCUGACAUUAAAAGAAGCCAAAGGUGUGAGAAGUUGCCAAUCCAGUGGGGAAUAUCGCCGGAUAACUUGUUGUUGGAUACAUCUAAUACCCCCAGCAAAGGGGAGCUCAACAAACCAUCUGUCAUCUUCCCACUGAAAUGAUUGUUGUCCAAACGUAAGGAACGCAAAUGAGUCAAGUUCAUAUAAUUGGGAAAAAGUUGGCCAUAGAAAUUGUUAUUUGAUAGGUCCAACAUAUCUAAGGGGAGGCAACUAGAGAAUAUAGAUCGAGUUAAUUCUCCUGAAAAAUUAUUUCCAGACAAAUCCAAAGUAAUUAGCUCUUUCAUCUCACUGAUUGAAUAAGGAAUAUUACCUUCAAAACUAUUUUUUGACAUAUCCAAAUAUAUCAAUUUCUGAAAGACAAUACCCAAAUUCUCUGGUAGCUUACCAGAGAAAUUGUUAGUGGAAAUAUCUAGAUAACGAAGCUUAUCGUAUUUGGCAUUGGGAAGUCGCGGAAGAAUUCCUGAGAAUGAGUUAUUCCACAAAAUCAAAACUUCUAAUCCUGUGUUGUUUUGCAACAACCAAGUUGGGAAAUUGCCAACCAACUGAUUGUGAGAGAGAUCAAGGAAUUUUAAGUUGGAUUGGUGUAAAAGAAAACUGGGAUUGACAUUUAAGCGGCAGUGAGGUAAUUGGAGAACCUUGAGAGGAUAUGUGGGGAGCCAGUUUUCGGUUUUCACUUGCAACAUAUCGUUUUGUGGCGAGAGUAGCAAGACCUCAAGCUUUGAAUGAUUAGCCAAUGAAUUUAUUGAGAAUGUUCCUUGGAAAUCGAUGAAAGAGAGAUCCAAAUAUUCAAGUGAUGUGAGGUUGGUCAAGGCAGAAGGAAAUUUUCCACUUAACUGAUUGUAAGAAAUAUCAAGAACUUUGAGAUGGGUCAAGUUGUUGAGACACUGAGGAAGGUGAACCACAAAAUUAUUUAACCUUAAAUCCAACUCAAGAAGAUUCUUCAAAUUACAUAUUCCUGAAAGUGAAAAUAAAAAGCUCAGAUGUCAUAAAACGAAAACUAAUUAUAGCGCAUUCAAUCAUAAACCCAAUAUAAGACUUAUAAAACAGUCAUGAAAUCAAAUUGUCUAAGUAUUUUGGUCAACAUAAAUAAUAAUAGAAUGAUAUGAAUUUAUUUCUCAUAUAAUAUGAUGUUGAUUGCAAAAGCGUUUCAAUUAAUCUAACAAUAAAAUAAUAAUAAUAAUAAUAUAAAAGCAGUCAGCAAUUCUUGCUCAUCAUAAUCCAUUCAAAAAGCAUUUCAGCAAUUCUCGUUGUUUAAAAUAAUGAUUUUCUGCGGAAGAGUUUGUUGACUUCGUCUUUUUCGUUGGAUAUUGGUUCUCUAAUCUCUAAAUUUGUUGGAUAAUGUAAAGAGAAACUCAUAAUAUAUUAGUUGCUUUCUUAAACUUUAUUUAUUCUUCUCAUAGCAUUAAAAAAAUAUAUAUAUUUGCCCAAGCGGAAAAAAAAAAAAAAGCUGGUCUUCAUAUUUAAUUUGACCAACAAGUCACUGGGAAGUAGGAAUUGUGUAUCAGUAAUGCAAAUAUUGGGUGCGUUGGCAUUGUUUUUAUAUGCUUUUUUUUUUUAUUUUUUGAAUUUAGAAAACAUUAGAUACGUGUUCGGUAGAUUGUUUCUGAAAAUAUUUUUAAAAAUAUAAAAUUCAUUCUACACAUUUUAACAAAAGAAAUGAGAAACAAUUUUUUCUUAUUUUCCUUAUUUCCCAAUACAAUAUUAAGUUCCAAAAUGAAGAAUUCUCUGUACCUCCUCCUGAAAUAAUAAUAAUAUCAACAUUAUUAUUAUUAUUAUUAUCAUUAGGUCUAAUUAUCCCUAGGUGACAGAUGUUUUAAUAAAUUUCAAAAAAAUGACACAUGUUUUGAAAACACUCGAGUGGGUGACAUUCCAUUAACUUUUGUUGUUAAUUUUAACCAGUCGAGGGUAGAGUUGAAAAAAUAAUUUUUUUUUUCAUAAAGCCAAAGAGAUGAAAAUAUUGAAUUUAUACAGUACUUUAUAAUUCAUAAGAUUUUUGCUUCUUUAUAUUCACAAAUCAGUUUGAUCAACAAGAAUUUUUUAAAAUUUAUUUGAUUUAACAAAAAAAACCUGGUAAUUAGACUUAUGUUUAUUUUUUUAUAUUUUAUAUUUAAAAAAUUAAAAAUGAGUGAGUAUGGGCAGAAACAUCAUUUUGUGGGGUAGAAAAGUCAUUUAAUUUACUAUUCUCAUUAAAAUUAAUGACAAAAGUUAAUAGAAUGUCACUCGCUCAAAUAUUUUUAAAAAAUGUCAUCUUCUUAAAAUUUGUUAAAACAUAUGUCACCUAGAGAUUAUUGUUGUUGUUGUUGUUGUUGUUGUUGUUGUUGUUGUACCCAAAGAAUCAUUUUCCUUCACAAAAAUCUUUUCUUUUUAUAUACAUUAUAAUAUUUAUGUUUUUAUAUAUUAACUAAAUCAAAUAUGUAGGGUUUAUCAUUUUUCUUUGAACAAAAAAAUAGAAAGAUCACCUAAUUUAUUCUUAAAAUUAAAAUAAUCAAUAUACAUUGCUUAAUCUUAAGUUUAUGGAAAUUAUUCCAAUAAUAAUUCUUUGAGAUAUUCUUACCAAACAUAUUUAUGUUUUUCUCAUUUUUCAGAUUAUUUUUUAAAAUGAUACGGAACACAUUUUUAAAUUUUAAAAAUAAAUUUAAAAAUAGCAUUUUCAUUUUUAUUUUGUAAAAACAACAAUUAGAAAACAAUAUUGGGCUAUUAUUUAUCAUGUUUCAACAUAAAAACACAGUGUAAAUUGUUUAAUAUGGGUUUCUAGAGAAUUUUUUAUGUUACUAUUACUCAAAUUCAAUGCUUCCAAGCUUUUGAAUUUAGCUAAUCUUGCAUCAAGAAUUAAUGAACAUAAGAAAAAAAACAUUUCAUUCAGAACUAUAAAUAUUGAAAUAAAGAUAAAUAUCAUUGUUGAUUUUUUUAUAAAAAUGAUUUAGAAUUAAGAGAGAGUGAGAGAAAUGAGCGGGUUAUUUCGGAAAUUGGUGAUAGAGUAUAUCAAGUACUAAACUUUGUAUAGAAAGCAGUGCUUCUAAUUUAAAUUUGAUCUAGUUUAAAGCAAUUAAAAAAUGGAAAUAUAUUAUCAUCUUGAUUAACAUCUAAAACAAUUUUUGUCAUUGGAGGAAGUGAAUUGUUAUAUACCUUGAAUUGUAGUUAUCCCACAAGAGCCAAGAUCCAAUGUUUUCAAGUUUGGCAAAUCUGCGAAUCCUACAUGCGCCGAUAAAAAAUGAAAAUAUUACAUUUAAAGGCAUUGUAUGUGAUCCGCGCGUUUGAUGAACAUUAAUUCUACAUUUAAUUUGCUUCUUAUCUCAGAUUCAGUGGCCUACCUAGCAUUGUCAGAUUUUGAUUAUCGCUUAAAUCCAACACUUGUAGGUUUGUCAAAUUUGCUAAUCCUGUUAAAAAAGGUAAAUUUUGUCAAUAACAGUUAUGUCACUCUCGUCUAAAUUGUUUAAUUAAAAUAAUAUGGUAAAUAUUGAAUGAAAAUUAACUGUGCACAUUGUUAUUUUUUUGUUUAUAUUGAUAUUUUAAUAUAUACCGUCACUUUUAGCAUUACCAAGAUUUGGAGUGUUUGAAUCAUAAUUUGUAAAUUAGUUAGCACUUUGAGUAAACUUGAAAAUGUGAAAAAAGAAAUUAAAAAAUGCAAAUAUAUUAUCAUCUUGAUUAACAUCUAAAACAAUUUUUGUCAUUGGAGGAAGUGAAUUGUUAUAUACCUUGAAUUGUAGUUAUCCCACAAUAACCAAGAUCCAAUGUUUUCAAGUUUGGCAAAUCUACGAAUCCUACAUGCGCGGUAAAUUUUGUCAAUAACAGUUAUGUCACUCUCGUCUAAAUUGUUUAAUUAAAAUAAUAUGGUAAAUAUUGAAUGAAAAUUAACUGUGCACAUUGUUAUUUUUUUGUUUAUAUUGAUAUUUUAAUAUAUACCGUCACUUUUAGCAUUACCAAGAUUUGGAGUGUUUGAAUCAUAAUUUGUAAAUUAGUUAGCACUUUGAGUAAACUUGAAAAUGUGAAAAAAGAAAUUAAAAAAUGCAAAUAUAUUAUCAUCUUGAUUAACAUCUAAAACAAUUUUUAUCAUUGGAGGAAGUGAAUUGUUAUAUACCUUGAAUUGUAGUUAUCCCACAAGAACCAAGAUCCAAUGUUUUCAAGUUUGGCAAAUCUGCGAAUCCUACAUGUGCCGAUAAAAAUGAAAAUAUUACAUUUAAAGGCAUUGUAUGUGAUCCGCGUGUUUGAUGAACAUUAAUUCUACAUUUAAUUUGCUUCUUAUCUCAGAUUCAGUGGCCUACCUAGCAUUGUCAGAUUUUGAUUAUCGCUUAAAUCCAACACUUGUAGGUUUGUCAAAUUUGCUAAUCCUGUUAAAAAAAGGUAAAUUUGUAGUUAUGUCACUCUUGUCUAAAUUGUUUAAUUAAAAUAAUAUGAUAAAUAUUGAAUGAAAAUUAACUGAGCAAAUUGUUUAAUUAAAAAAAUUACCUUCUAAAGAACUGUGUAUAUAAUAAUUAGAACUCAAAUCCAACGCUUCCAAGUUUUUUAAUUUUGCUAAUCUAGCGCCAAGAAAGAAGAAAAAUCUUAGUAAUCAUCUUUGGGAAAAAAAUAAAGAAUUAAGAAAUUAGAUUAAAUAAUUGUAGUAAUAAAGCUUAUGAUUCAGAUCUAAUUAAAUUGAUCAUAUACUCAAAAAUGAUUUUAUUUNNNNNNNNNNNNNNNNNNNNNNNNNNNNNNNNNNNNNNNNNNNNNNNNNNNNNNNNNNNNNNNNNNNNNNNNAUUAAGAAACAAAUUUCAAAGUUAGAUUAAAUAAUUGUAGUAAUAAAGCUUAUGAUUAAGAUCUAAUUAAAUUGAUCAUAUACUCAAAAAUGAUUUUAUUUAUUUAUUUAUUUUUUUAAAUUUUACUAAGACAUUAGAAAGUAAAUUUUGCCGUGUACAUAUUGUAGUCAAGUUUAUCAAGUUUUCCAGUCAAAAAUUGGUUUUAAUUUGACAUUAUACAUAUGUAAAAAUUAAGAGCAUAAUAAUAUCACAAGGAAUUUGGGUAGUGACUUGUUGCCGUGUACCUUGAAUUGUAGUUAUUCCACAACUACCAAGAUCCAAUUUUUUCAGGUUUGUCAAAUUUGCCAAUCCUACACCAACGAAAAGCAAAAUAUUACUUUUAAAAUUAUUGUAGAAGGUUGUGAUUAGUGUGCUAACUUGGUAAUUAUCUCAGUAGCCUACCUAGCCUUGUUAAAGAGCCACUAGUUAUAUUGAAGUUCAAGCUUAGAUCCGACACUUGCAAGUAUCUCAAAUUUACUAAUCUUGCUCAGAAAACAUUAAUUUUGAUCAAGACAAUAUAAAUAUAUAUUUUAAUUAAGAAAUUAAUUAAGUUGCCUGACAUGUAUAUCUGCUGGCCUGAAACGUAUAUGUAUACCUUGCUUGGUUCUGGAACCUUCAAUCUUAUUGUAACUAAGAUUCAGAGUGGUAAGUGAAGUUAGUGUAUUCAAAUAUGGUAAUAUGCUGUCGUUGACGUAAUUAAAACCAAGAUUUAACAUCUUCAGCUGCUUCAAACUCCCAAAGCUAUCGUAAGCUGCAAAUGCAUAUGAAGUGUUAUUAUUAAUUAGUCACUGACAAAAUAUUUAUGGAUGCGAAAUAAAUGUAUACAUAUAUACGGACCUCUAUUCUCAUAGAUGCCUGUAAACCAAUUCUCGGAUAAGUCAAGGCUUUGCAAUUCUUCAAAAGGAUGAAACAAUGACAUAUUCAUAAACGAAGCCGAAGUUCUAUCAUAAUAUUUCAAUCUCCUUGUAUAAUUGAGUGAGAGUUGCAUCACGCGUCUUGUGGUGGCGUUGCACAUAACUCCCUCCCAAGCAUCACAACAAUCAGACGGCAUGCCAUCAUCCUCACCAACCCAUGAAGGAAGAAUUUUGUCAUCAUAGCCAACAUCACUGACUGAUAUGAAGAAGCUCUUGAUUGCCAACAGAGCAGUCCUCUCUGUUUCCAAGCAUGCUUUGUAUCCCUGCAUUUCAUUCAUCAAUACAAUAAUCCAAAUUAGUGACAUUAAUGAGAACUUAAUACAGGAAGUAGUUUCCAUUGCUGAGCAACUUUUCAUUUGGUUAAAAUUAAAUGUGCAAUGAGCAACUUUCCAUUGCAGAGCAAUUUAUACUAAAAGUUUAUCGCAGGUCUUGCAAUUUGAUUGGCUGAAGACUUUUUUAAGACUUUCCAAUACAUCGCCAUCUUUGAAGACUUGUAAGCAUUCCAUGUUUUGCAACAUUCGACCAAUUUUGUCAUCAUAUCCAACAUCACUGAUAAAGUGAUUGAAAUGACAAAACACAUAAAUGUUAUUUGAAGCUCAUGCAUUCGGAUAAGGAAAGUUUCCAUUGCUCCAGUCUACACUCUUCACUACUAUUACAAUCACUUGAAAUGACAAAAAUAGAAAUUUCGUAUGAACUUGGGACCGAUGUACGGGUGCAAUUUAAAUGACCCUAGCUAAUUUUGCAUAUAUUAUUGCAACUACGUGGAAAAUUAAAGUUGACUGACUUUCAAAUUAAGCCAACAAACAAGUGGCUAUCAACUCUUUUCCCUCUAUGAUUGUUUUUUUUUUUUUUUUUUAAAUUGAAUUGUAUGAUUGGGUUUGCAUUGAAUUAUCCAACAAUCUAUUCAAGCAUUGAUAUUUGAUAUUCUCAAAUAUUUAAUGGGUUUUGAAAAUUAUUUACUAGAUUUUUGAUAAAUUGAUUUUUAUUAUUUCAUGAUCAAUAAUUAAUCAAGUAAUUUUCUAUAUAUAUAUAUUUGGUAAUUUACUCAUAAAAAGUGUGGAUCACAUUGAAAUGUUAUUUUAUAUGAUGCAUGACAUACGGAGAGGUGCAGUUUAAAUGCGCAAAUAAUUUAUUAAUUAUAACAUGCAAUCAUUGAGUUAAAGCGCAAGCGUGAGUUUGGAUUUGAAAUAUUCAAAUAAUUUAUUUCAUUAUUGAUUCUUAAAUAACAUGCUUUGGAAUUAAUAGUUCGAUAGGAUGUUUGAUAUAUUAAAAUUUGUGAUAAUCAAUAAUCAACUAAUUUUCAUUCAUAUUUAAAGAUUUUAAUAAAUUACUCAUAAAAUUGUGGCGUAUAUUGAAAUGACAAUCAAUCUUGAUAUUGACUGACAAUCAAUUUUUAUAGUGAUUGGCACUUAAGACAAUCAGUUUUGGUCUCCGUAAUGACUAAUGAAGAAUUGUAAGCCUGAAAUUCCACAUGUUGCAAUGUUGGACCAAUGAGGGAAAUGCUUCAUUAACAUUACAUGGAAAAUAAAUGUUGACUGACUUUCAAAUUAGACCAACAUACAAGUAGUCGUCAAUUCUAUUUUUUCCAACAGUUGAUAAAGAUGGCUAGUUAAGAAAAAAAAAGUUGAUUGAGAUAAUUUAAAGAAUUUAAGCGUAAGUUUGGGUUUGAAAUUAUCAAAUAAUUUAUUCCAGCAUUGAUUCUUAAAUAAUGUACUUUGGAAUUAAUAACUCGAUAGGAUGUUUGACAUAUUGAAAUUUGUGAAAAUCAAUAAUCAAUUAUUUUUCAUACAUGUUUAGACAUUUUAAUAAAUUACUCAUAAAUUUGUGGUGUACACCGAAAUAAUAAGUUAUUAUAAAUUUGUGGUGUACUCUUGAGUCCCUUUGUAUCCUUGCAUUAAUUUGAAUCAAAGCUCGAAUUAAAAUCAAAGACCCAUAUUGAGAAUUUAUAUAAAUAACUUAAGAGUAUGAUUGGGUUUACAUUGACUUAUAUAUAUCAAACAAUAUAUUCAAGGGCUGAUAUUCUCAAAAAAAAGAAAAAAAAAAAGACAAUCAAUCUUUGCGUCAACUGAUAUUAUUGAUUGGUAAUAAAUCUUAGUAGUGAUUGACAAAGCUUGGGAAAAUCACUCUCGGUGAUUAAUAGUCUUCGUCCUCAUCUUUGUUUUGAUCGUUGUGAUAGAGGAUGAGUGGUGCGUAAGAGAGGGUUCAUCGCUUGCGGAAUUUUCGCGGCCAUUCAAGAAUCAGGAUGGUUGUUGUAGAAUUCCACGAGAAUUGGCCGUGCAAUUAGGGAAAGUUCAAUAUUAAUUUAUACUAAAAGUUUAUCAUAGGCCAAUCACGGUGACCACCAAAACCUAUGAAUGAUUAGUCCAUCGAAACCCAAUGUAUGCUCAAUUAAUAUUUCCUAUCAAGAUCAAAAUUUUCACUCUAUUGCUUCACCAAUCAUGCGCAUAAAAGCUCGAUUUAUACAAAACUUACGAAUUUAUGAAAAAAAAAGUCACAAUUAUUAUAAUUGGAAGUUUGAUUGAUUUUUAAAGAUUGAUUCAAUCAAUCUUAAUGUUACUGGACAAUCGAUCUUAAUAUUAAUUCAAAAUCAAUCUUUAUAGCAAUUGACACAGAUAAAGAUAAUUAGUUUUGGUCUCUAUAAUGAUUGACGAAGACUUGUAGGACCUGCACCAAUGAGGAAAAAUGCUUCAUUAAUACUCCAUGGAAAAUAAAUGGUGACUGACUUUCAUAUAAUCGAUUGACGUAUAAUUAUAAUUAUAUAAUCAAACACGCACACUACAAGGCGACCUUCGAUUGACGUAUUCUGUCAACUAACCCAUGGGACAUGGAGUGCUAAAACCAUAAUGUACGCCAGUAUGAAUAAUAUCAUCAAUCAAACCAAAAAAAAAAAAAAUUGAUGAAUAAUAUAGUUCCAAGCAGUGCUAAAACCAUAAUGUACGCCAAUAUGAGUUUAUCCAAAGUCACCGGCUACACCAAUAUCAUAGUGACAUAGGAAGCGAUGAGGAAAUUUACGAAAGAUUUAUUAAAUGAUCAGAGACUUUCUGCAAUUUCAUUGACUUAUUCUACGAUAAUUAUAAUCAAACACGCACACUGCAAGGCGACCUUCGAUUGACGUACUCUGUCAACUAACCCAGGGACAUGGAGGAUGUGUGUUGACGUUAACCAAUAGCCAAGUUUAUAAACACAAUCAAGCAAUCGUAUCAUCAAUCAGAGCCACAUUCGACGCAUGACUAGUAAAUAUCAUAAUUGAGUUUGAGGACCACAGCCGCACGGUGAAAGAAUUUGAAUGGAGGAAAAGCAAAGGAAAAUGAAAAGGAAAAGAGGGGAAUGCUAAAGAAAAAUAAGCUGAUUCAUCAGUAACUCCAUAUGACAUUUUUUUUUUAAAAUAAGCAUACCGUGGGGGGUUAGGCGGGACCCCUACCUGUCAUUUAUAAAAGAUAAUGAAAGAUACAAGGAGGGGGACAAAAACCAAAACCUCCAAUCAAGAGAAAAAAAUACAACAGAAAAAUAAAAGAUUAAGGCAUAGCCUAACAUGAGAAUCAUAAUAAAAUGACUAAUGAAGACGGUGAUAAUAUGUCUUACGAUACUUACGGCCGGUAAGUAAUUUAAAUCCCUUUUUCGAUUGACCAACAAUGCUAAAAUCGGGACUUAAGUCUAUUCUCUCAGAAUUCUCAGGAGCAGAUAAAAAGUGUUCGUUAUUCGCCAGGUGCUCGUCAGAACUAUCAUCAUUAUCAGUAUGAGAAUUGUAAUGCCUAAAAUCUGUGCUGGAUGCUCGAUGAAGAUGUGGAUUAUACUCACCAAUGCUCCGCAGGGGAGACAAGCUUUGAUCACGAGGUUCCUUAGAAUCAUGAGUUGUGUCAUCUUGGGCAAUCGGCUCCUGAACGGAUGUAGAAUUUGUAACGUUAGGCCGGUUCUCCGAAGGUUUAGUGAUCGGGGACCCCGCGUCUACAAUCUGCUUAGUGAUGGAAAGCUCAGGUCGAGGAGUAUCUGAGGGUUGUGGAGUAUCUGACGGUAGAACUUCUGACUUCUUACCAUCUUCUACUCUGGUCUGCCGAUUCCCACUGGGUCGCUGGGGACGAAGCCUCGGAUUGGCCACGUAACACGUCUCAAUGGUAUGGCCAAGGUGCUUGCAGGAAGCACAAUAGAGUGGGAUUUUCUCAAAAAUUACAUUUUGCCAAAAUCCAGAAUCUCCCACCCCGAUUCGUAUCCUUGGCAAAGGAGGUUGGGUAACAACAUACUCCACUAAUACCCUAGCUACAGAAGGGCGAGCUAAAGAGGCAGUAGCUUGGUCAAUUCGCAAUGGCUUGCUAAUAGCUGAUGCAAUAGAAAAUAAUGCUUCCUUACAGUGCAUGAAGUGGACAGGCAAGUAAGGAAAUGAGAUCCAUACUGGAACUAUAGGGGACUCCUCAGAGCACCGAAAAUCGGUGGUCCAUUUAAAAAUUCUCAUGGCACUCCCAUUAAUGUGCCAUGUCUGCCUAACCCAUAGGCGGGAAUAGUCAUCCUCAACGUCCAAUUGAAUUAACACAUGUCGAUUAUCUAGUAAAGACACCUUAAAAGUUCCCUUCAAUCUCAAAGAAGUAAAAAAUUUACGAAUUAAUUCCAUACUAGUCUAUUAUAAGAAAAUUUACCAACCAAUGUCAACUUGAAGGGAAUGGCCAUCGCUUCAAUUUCCGCAACGGAGAAUUGCACGUUAGGCUCUCCCCCGAAAGAAGUAACGGUCUUGAUUGGAACCAUCGAGCUAGUUGGGCCGAUCAUAAUAUCCAUAAACGAACUUUUAUUGGUUCUCUUUUGAUUCGAAUUGGGGACGGAAUUCAAAAUUGAGGCAUAAGAUGGUGCGGAUGUGGGCGGUGUAGCAUUUUGAGUCAACGGGGUAAAUUGGGGAUUAUUAGAAAUGAGUGUUGAGGGCAUUCGGGAGGGCUGGUUGUUGGGGUCAGAAAUGGAUUGGGCUUGGGAUUGAUUAGUGGGAAAUGCUAAUGGGACAGGGGGAAGGCUAGUGGGAAACACACAUGGGGGACACAAAUCAUGCGCGGCCGAAAGUGGUUCAUGUGCAUGUGGAGCAACAAGCUGCUGCACGCGUGAAGACUUUUGGGCUGGGAUGUUUGCUCAUGGCUGCUGCACGCGUGGAGACUUUUGGGCUGGGAUGUUUUCUGAUCUUGACUGGAUUCGGUGGUGUUUGCUUGCAUGGGGAGCUGACAAUCGCCGGUCAGCAGCUGCAGCUGGCUGUGAACACUGUUCCGAGUGCGUGUGUGUGAGACUUUUUGGCUCGUGGGGGUUGUUUGUGUAGGAUAUGGUUGUGGCUGACUGGAUUUAACCACGGUGGUUGCAUCUUGAAGAGGUUCUUGAUUAAAUUGGCCAUGAAGCACGGGCUGGUUUUGAGAAUGCAUAGGGGCUGUAACAGCUGGCUGAUCGUCUCCCGAGUGAUCAUGUAUGGCUUGUGUUGGCUGCGGACUAGAUGCUGGAAGCUGGUUUGUGUUAGCUUGUGAAGGCUUGGUUCGAUUUGAAGGUGAUGAUGGCUCGACGGUUGGAAGGUGGUCAUGGCUAGUUAAGGUUGGAGUUUGCUGUUGAAGGGAUGACGAUGGCGAUGGUGGUUGAUUGGCUGUGUUUACGGAAGUUGGUGGCUGUUGGGGUUGGAUGGCUGGCGAUUGGCUUUUAUAUUUUGAACGAGUUUUCCUUUGAGAUCUCCUAAGAAAAGGAAAUUCGUUUUUGGAAGUGAGGGGGAGAAUCGGUGGAGGCUGGCUGCCAUUACCAUCAGCCGGUAAGUUCAUGAUAGCCGGCUCGUGAAGGGAUGGUUGAUUUGCUGCAUCAUGGCAGCCUUCAUGAGACGUUUCUUCUUGUUCACUUACGACAACAGAGGUGGGUAAGGGCUGCCGAAAUUUCGAGAGGAUAGAGGCAGUGGAUGUCGGUGGUUGAUCAGCAUGAUGGUGGAUUGGAGAUGGAGGGUCUGCAUGGGAGUGGUUUGGAGAGAAAUGAUUUGGUUGUGUGGAUGGAUUGAGGUCAUUUUGCCGCUGGAGUGAUUUGAUUCGCGGUGGUGACAGUUGGACGUCAGGCGGUGGAUCAUUGGUGAAUUUUGGGGGUCGUCUAAAUGAUUUCUUAGGAGGGAUCAAACUCCUAAUAAUUCGUUCUUCGGCGGAGAGGGUGUUGACCGGUGAUGACUGGUUGCCAUCACCGGAGGCCGGAGAGGCCAUUAAGGCCGUUUAAGGCUUAGGGGGGGGGCUUGAUAGAUAGUCUUCAAACCAUUUGUUCCGGUCACUUAUUUUUCUAAACAAACCAAUUCACCCAGUUUCCCCUCCAUGACUACUUUUAGCCUCCGUGUGAUUCAAAAUAAUUAACACAGACGUCCUGCGUGUCACAUGUAACGAGCUAAUUCUGUUAAGGCCUUCACUCCAUAGUCUUAAGAUCUCAGUGAACAAUAAAUUCUUCAGAUUCAAAUGGCAAAUGAAUUGCACAACAAGGCAUAAACCCCGCUUGAAGGCAACCCGCUAUAAUUAAUACAUAAAAAGUUCAAUUGCUCAUAAAAGAAAGAUACAGUAAACUAGUGGUAUUGUAGUAUAAACAAUACUGGUUUUUCUAUCUUGGUGGUUUCUUGAUAGUGUUCAAAUAUCAGUCCUCGAAGAAAGAUAGAGGAAAGCUAAAGAAAAAUAAGCUAAUUCAUUAUUGACAUAAUGUGACAAUUGCACGCAACUCUUGGAUGUUUUUAGCCACCGAAAUUUUUAACAUUAAUGAUGAAUUACAAAUAUGUGAAUGAAAACUUAGAAACAAAUUUUUGCUGUGAAAGAAAGUAAAAGAGAGCAGAGAAACAAAAAACAGAGGAUUUCAUUCGUCAUUCAUAACUGAUUUUCCUAGUGCAAAUGCGCAAGGUUGAACAUUCAAAAUCCAUAAUUCUAAAUCAAAAUCACCAACAGACACCUGUACAUGAAAUAUUCAGGCCUUCACUCUGGCCUUAAGACCUCAUGUACGAGAAGUUCGUCAGAUUCAUAUAGCAAAUGAAUUGCACAAGAAGGCAUAAAAAUUAGUAUAUUUUUCAAGAACCGAGCUUGAAAGCAAUGAAAUAAAAAUUAAUACAUAAAAGUUCAAUUACACAUAAAAGAAGGAUAACGGUAAACCAUGGCCAGGCAAGAUCACGGAUGAAAUAUACAAAUUUCACAAGCCAAUAUAAACAACAAUCAGUGCAUGCAUCAAUGAAAGAAAACCGUGGCCACUGCCAAUACGAGUUCAACCAAAGGAUUCAUCUUAAUUGCAGAUUCAUCUUCGUCUUCUCCUCGAUUGGAUGUUAUUGCUAGAUUUUCCUCUGUUCUGGUGCAACUCUUAUUAAUUGUUGGACCACAACGACCCAGAUUAUAACUCUUUUCAUCAAACCUGCCAAAUUGUUUUUUGUCUGGGAUCAGACCAGACAAGUUCUUGUAUGACUCGUUAAAGUUGGAUAAAUAGUUGAUGAGUGAUCUGAAGAUCACCGAUCAGAAAAUUUUUCAUUUAUGUUUGUGUAAAUUAUUCAUAGUAUGGUCUACUAUGAAAUUACAAAAAUAAGCAUAGUAAAUUUGAAUAAAGGAAAGGAAAAUGAGAAGGAAAACAGAGGAAGGCUAAGGACAAAUAAGCUGAUUCAUCAGUAACUCAAGAUCACAACUUUUGGAUGUUUUUAGCCUCCGAAAUUUCAACAAAUAUUCAAGUGAUGUGAGGUUGGUCAAGGUAGAAGGAAAGUUUCCACUUAAUUGAAACUUUGAGCUUAGAUCCAACUCAAAAGGAUUCUUCAAAUUACAUAGUCCUGAACUUGAAAAUAAAAGAUCAAAAUUUUAUAGAAUGAAAACUAAUUAUAGCGAAUUCGAUCAAAAUCCAGUACAAGACUUAGAGAACAGACAAAAAUCAAAUUGCCUAAUUAUUUUGGUCAGCACAAAUAAUAAUAGAGUAAUGUGAACUUAUUUCUCAUAUAAUAUGAUGUUGAUUGCAAAAACGUUUCAAUAAUCUGGAAAAAGGGAAAAAAAAUAAAAUGCCCUCAGCACUUUUUGCUCAUCAUAGCCCGAAGUCCUUCUUGUUUAACAUUAUGAUUUUCUGAGGAAGAAUUUGUUCACUUGAUGUUGUUCAUUGGACAAUGGUUCUGUAACCUCUAAACCUAUUGGAUAAUGUAAAGAGAAAUUCAUAAUAUUUUAGUUGUCUUCUUAAAUAAUAAAUUGUCUCAAAAUACAAUUAAUUUGUCUUAAAUUUAAUUUAUUCCUCAGCAUUCAAAGAAAAACAAAAACAAAAAAAGAAAAAGAAAAACGACCUGGUCUUUAUAUGUAAUUUUGUCCAAGUACUUUGAUCAACAAAUCAUUAGGAAGGUGGUGUAUCAGUGAUGCAAAUAUUUAAUUAUCAUGUUUCAACAUAACAAUUCUGUGUAAAUUGUUCACUUUAUGUUUCUAGAGAACUGUUUAUAUUAUUAUUACUACUCAAAUUCAAUGCUUCCAAGUAUUUGAAUUUAAUUAGCUAAUCCUGUAUCAAGAAUUAAUUAAUGAACAUAAGAUAAAUGUCAUAUUAGUUAGAUUUAGAUUUUUUUUUUCCAGUUUUGAUGUAUAGAUAAAAAUAAUACUUCAAAAGCAUUGAAAUGUAAGAGCUAUUAAAAAAAUGCUUUUCAUUCAAAGCUAUAAGUAAUGAAAUGAAGAUAGAUAUCAUUGUUGAUUUAAAAAAAAUCAGAAAAAAAAAAAGAAAAGAGUGAAAGAAAAGAGCAGGUUAUGUUAGAAAAUAGUGAUAGAGUAUGUUAAGGACUAAAAUUUAUUAAAGAAAGCAGUGGUUCCAUUUGAAAUUUGAUCAAGUUAGAAUUAGUCAAUUAUGCAUCGAGAAUCAAAAGAAUGAAGAAAGGGAAUUCAAAUUAGACUUACAAAAUUAUAAUAAAGUGAUUAGUUAAGAUCCAAUUAAGCAGAUUUACUAAAAAAAAUAUUGAAAAAUAAAGGGCCAUAACAUUGCCAAAAGGACUAGGAAACUAAGUAGGAAGGGCUGAUUGUUGCGGAAUACCUUGAAGUGUAGGUUAUUCCACAACCACGAAGACCAAUUGCUUUCAAGUUUGUCAAAUAUGCCAAUCCUACAACAAUAUAAAGCAAAAUGUUACUAUAAAAUUAUUGUAGAAGAUUGGUAUUUUCAGUAGCUUACCUAGCCUUCUUAAAGCGCCACUUGUUAGAUUUUCAGGUUAGAUCCAACACUUGCAAGUUUCUCAAAUCUGCUAAUCCUACUCAGUAAACAUUAAUUUUGAUCAAAUCAAUAUCCUUGAUUGAAUAUAAAAUUUAUGAUUAAACCAAUAAAAUUUAUUCUACUUGAUUUUUGUACAAUUUUUUUUUCACUUGAUCAGCUGUUUUAUUCCCUUAAAAUAAAUGAAUUAAAAAAAUGUUAAUUGUUUUACGAGUUAAUAAUUUUAUAUUUAUUUAUUUAUUUAUUUUACCUUCUAUUUAUUAGUCUUUUGAAUAAUUUAUAAGAUUUAACAAUUGUAUUAGAUGUAAUAUUUUUAAAAAAAAAACUAUUAGCAUUUAUUAUUUAAUAAAUCUAUUUAGAUAUUUUUAAAAUUUGUUAUUGAUGAUAGAGUUUGGGUCAAUGGUCAACAAUUAAUAGUUACUAUGAUUUUUUUUUCCCUCCCUUUCUAAUUGAUAGAUUUCAUGUGUUCCGAAAACGAAGUUUAAGGAAAAAGAAAAGGAAAAGGAAAAGGAAAAAAAAAUGGCUGUGAGGCCACUUUCCCUGGGUCUUGGUUGCAAUGCGCGCAUGUACACAGGCUGAAGCCAGCAAGAUGGUAUCAUAAGUUAACAAUGAGAACCUUACUCUGAGAACAAGGUAUAAUUUGCUCACAUCAGUUAAAACAUAAGUUAGGUUGUGAUUUAUUGAUUGCACAUUCACCACAGGCACGUAUUGGGAGGAUAUUUAAGCCGAUCAUCAUCUCAGGUAAUCUUUCUUAGGAAUUGGAGAAAUGAAGCUAAAAGAGCACCAAUAAUUUCAAACAUAUAUACCUUGCUUGAUUCUGGAACCUUCAAUGUUAUUGGAACGAAGAUUCAGAGUGGUAAGUGAAGUUAGUGUAUGUUGAGUACAUAAAAGCACCAGGUCGGCCAUACUACUAUUUCCGCCCCAGCAAGGAUCACCUCAGCCAAAUGGUACGAGCAGAACCGGGGGCAACACGAGCCGAGCAGAGACGAAUACUGACCAGAGGCAUAUACCGAGCCGAUACCUGUCCCCCAAGAGGCGGGAACACGAUCUCACAAGAUCGCGGCAGUUGCGCUUUCCCAGAACCGUUGCAGGAGACGCGAGAUCCCACGUUUGCCCAUAAUGCAGCAGUUAGAGUCCCAUGAGGGGCUGCCACGACCCGAAAAAGGUGGGACGAAGGGCAAAAUGGAAACAUGGGGACAGUGGCUAUAAAAGAAGAAGAAAUCGACAAAGAAGGAGACAGAAAAAUUGAGGGAGGGAAAACGCUGCCAAAUUUCAACCAGGCCAUUUUCUUACAAAUCUCUAACAAACUUCUUGAAUCCAAAUUACAUUGUUUUCCCGUGAACACCUUGUGCUAACUUAAGCAUCGGAGGGUUUACGCCGGCAAAACCACCAGAAUCUGGUCGGUCCAAGGGCGAGCAGAUUUCAGCAUCAACAUUUUGGCGCCGUCUGUGGGGAGCUGGAUAAAAAGCUACCACCGAAUUAGUAGUUACCGGAGAAACAGCGAACGAUUAGACAUGGAUGUGCCAAGGAAGGACGCUUUGAGGGAGGAUAACGAAUCGGGGGAGACAAUCACCCUUCGGGAAAUUGCAAAUGAAGCCCGAGAGAGGGUGAUGUAAGAUCGGUUGGAACGAAUGGAGAAGCAAAUGGAGACUCUCGCUACCAUACUGAAUGAGCUGAGAGAUGAGCGGAGAAGGGAUUUCGAAAUCCCCGUGGGGAGAGAUGAUGUUGGAGCAGAACUCAACCUCCGGAGGUGUAGAAUCGAGGAAAUCCCUCCGCCGGCGGACCAACCUUAUGGGGUGCAUCCCCACAGAAGCACUGGUCGGGUUCCUGGAGAACAAGUAGUUGAAGGGAGGAACCAACCUCGCCCCAGGCUAGUACCGGAAGCUGAUGGCCGAGGGGCCAGUGCUGAUGAAGGAGAGUUAAGACAGCGGUUGCAGAAUGUCGAGCAGGAGCGAGAUCAGAUAGCUGCACGUGAUCCUGACCGUGCUGUAGAAUUGGAGGGAGAGGUGCGCAGAUUAGCCAGGAGUUGGCCGAGCAGUUCCGAGGGGCAGUGGCCCCAGAGGACGACAUGAUGGAACUGAUGGGGAUGAAACAGGAGGAGCAUGAAUCCCUUCGAGGAUUUGUAAAACGAUAUCACCGAGCCGUGCUGGAUCUGGGAGCUUUUAAUCACCCGCAGGCGUUGAGGGGAUUAAAAGAAGGUGUAAGAAUCGGUUGACUGUGGUAUAACUUAAGAAGCCCCCUUGUACAGAAUUACUCGUCGGGGUAUGAGCAGGCGAGGCGAGAUAUAGAAAUCGAAGAGGAGAAAUCGGCAAGAAUAAAAAGUGAACAGCUGGACGAGCUGAGGUGAAAGGAACGGAGAGCCCCGACAGGGAGCGGGUCGGGAAAGCGAACUGGAGAAUCUUCAGGGAUGGGCGGAAUAUCAGCUCGGUCCCGCCCUUACCCCAUAGCUCCGAGAGCACAACAGUUCCAACAUAGCCGGGCUCAACCUCCGCGCCCCCUGAUCCCAGAGCGGCAGCAAGAUUUCCGGCAGAUGGCUGCCCACCCCUAUCACAACACUCCCAGAGCAUUACAUGCAACCAAUUCCAGGGCUAGACGACCAGAUCAGUUAGAGACUGUGCCAGCCCGAGGUGACAUUCACGAUAGCCGAGCAGUUCAGCUGGUAGACCAGAGCUUGGCAUAUAGACAGUACACUCCAUUAAAGAUCUCCCUGGAGGAAUUGUAUGAGAGGAUCGAGGGACGAGGCCUGCUGUAUCCUCCAGCCCCAAUAACAAAACCGACUUACCGACGGGAUAAGAGCUGAUUCUGCAAAUUCCACGACACUCACGGUCACACUAUAAGCCAGUGUCGUGACCUGAAGAUUCAGGUGGAGGAUUUAGUGAGGAACCGAUACUUGGACGAGUAUGUAGAUGGAAUGUCCCCUGUCGUGGAAUCACAGUACACACGGGAUGAAGGAGUUGAGAGGGAUCUGGAACGUGAACAGCCGACCAUCCGUGUGAUAGCAGGAGGUCCAACAUUGGCCGGGGAUUCGAACAGAGCACGGAAGAACUAUGGGAGAUACGCCAUGACUGGCAAAGAGGUGCUUCUGAAUUUGCCAGCAGCCAAGAAGGCAAGAGUACGACAAGUUCCCAUUAUGUGGACGGAGGAUGACGAAGAGGGCAUUUUGUACCCUCAUGAGGAUGCACUGGUGAUUAAAGCAUUAGUGGCUAGCACAGAGUUGAGGCGAAUACUGGUGGACACGGGCAGCUCAGUCGAUAUUCUGUUUAAAUCGGCCCUAGAUGAUAUGGGGAUUUCAGACUUAAAGCUGGAGCGGACGAAUACAUCCUUGAAGGGAUUUGGAGGGGGACGAUUAACUCCCAUGGGGGUCAUUGAACUCCCGAUUACUGUGGGGACAAAGCCGUUUGAAAGAACGAUGAUGCUGGACUUUGUCGUAGUAGAGGAAAGAAGUCCUUACCAGAUGAUACUGGGGAGACCGUUCAUGAGGAUAAGCCAAUGCGUAAUGUCCACGCAUUAUCUGGCGCUGAAGUAUAGAAUAAAUGGAGUUGUGGGUGUAGUAAAAGGCGACCAGAGAAUGGCGAGGAGCUGCUAUGCUACAGCGGCCAAGGAAACGCUGCAGGUUACCUCUCUAGAUAGCCGAGGGGAUUCAAAAAAUAGUCGCCAGGAACCUGUUGAGAAGCUGGAGGAGGUUAUUGUAAGCAGGAGUGACCCUAGCAGGGUCACACGUUAUUACAACAAGAACGUACGUGUGAGGCAGUUCCGAGCAGGAGAUUGGGUGCUCAGGAAGGUGAACCAAAAUACCAAGGAUCCUAACCAUGGAGCUCUUAGUCCGAAAUGGGAAGGCCCGUACAGGGUGAUACGAGCAACUGGUCCGGGAGCUUAUAAGUUAGCGUACCGAGAUGGACGAGACGUGAAGAGGUCAUGGAACGCCGAGCAUUUGAAGAAGUAUUUCCAGUAAGCAAAAUACUCUACUAAAUCUUCAAUUUGAUAAGUUAUAUUGGUCAAAUGCAUGGUGGCUUGGUGCACAUGCAUAUGUUUUGUACUUUUGUAACGCAUUCAAAUUUCAAUAAAGAGGAAUUCAGCAUGAAAUCCCCCGGCUAAUAAGCCCAUCAAAAAUCUGCUAAGGCAAGUAAAUGCCUACUUCUGCUCGGUCAACGAAAGACCAGCAACUAAAUUUACGAAGAUUUUACCAAGGCAAGUAAGUGCCUACUUCUGCUCGGUCCACGGAGGACCAGCAGCUAAAUUGACGAAGAUUUUACCAAGGCAAGUAAGUGCCUACUUCUGCUAGGUCCACGGAGGACCAGCAGCUAAAUUUACGAAGAUUUUACCAAGGCAAGUAAGUGCCUACUUCUGCUAGGUCUGCCUACUUCUGCUCGGUCAACGAAAGACCAGCAACUAAAUUUACGAAGAUUUUACCAAGGCAAGUAAGUGCCUGCAUCUGCUAGGUCAACGAAGACCAGCAGCUAAUUUAUCAAAUGCUCCUAAGGCGAGAAAGUGCCUGCUUCUGCUCGGUCAACGAAGACCAGCAGCUAAUUUCUCGAAAGUUUCGCUAAGGCAAGUAAGUGCCUGCAUCUGCUCGGUCAACAAAGACCAGCAGCUAAUCCUACGAAAAUCCUACUAAGGCAAGUAAGUGCCUAGUCCGGCUCGGUCAAGGAAGACCAGCAACCAGUUUUGUCUGCUCGGUCAACGCAAGACCAGCAGCUAACUCUACAAGAAAUCUACUAAAGCAAAUGCCUACUUCGGCUCGGUCAACGAAGGACCAGCAGUUAAUCCUACGAAAGGCAAAACUAAGAUACAAUCUAUGAGCAAAAACCGGACAAGAAAGCAAAUAAAGAGCAUUUAAAAAUCUUUUUAUAAAUGUUCAAUUGUUUACAAAACAAAUGCAAAUCUAGAGUCUAUACAAAAAUAGGCUCAAAGCUUAGCAGAGUCAACGGCUCCAGCGGCUGAAGGAUCAGCGAGCCCGGGAAGUGAGGGAUCAGCAACAUCAGGAGGUGGGAGAUCAGCAAUACCGGGAGGAGGAGGCAUGGACCCUUGACCCAUUUCGAAAGUGCGUCCCCCAGCAUCCCCCUCUUCCACCCCACCCGAAGGAACCUCCACCCGAUCCUGCUCACCCUGCUCCUUAUCUCCCUGGCCGGCCCCAGCCAUAUAUCUCUCCACCCCAGCCUCCAGCUUGCUCAUGUCGAGCUCGGGGUAUUCUUCCGUGAGCACAGACAUGAUGCACUUAUAGCUGAAAGCAACCCCGGAGUCAUACUUGGCAUCCAGCCGAUCAUCCACAUCAGCGGAUUUGCCUUUCUCUUCAGCCAGUUGGUCACUCAGGGAUUUGAUCUCUCCCUCAAGGGCGGUCCUCAGAGUAUCUCUCUCACUUUGAGUAGCCUGAAGAUCGGACUUCAGAUCACCCAACUCGCCCUCAAGCUUGGAGGAAGUGGACUCAGCAACAGCAACUUUCUCCUCAAGCUCCGUAAGCUGCUUGUUCAGCUCGGCCAUUUUUUCCUUGGACCGAUCAGCAGAUUCGGCUUUCUUUUUCAACUCCUGGUUAUCAGCUUGAAGCUUCUUCUCAUGACGCGCGGACCUGGUCUUGUAGCACGAGACCAUUGUGGCCAGCCUGAAGGAGACUCUCUGAACAGAAGCAGCCAACUCGGAGAGGCUCAUGCUCUCGAUCUCCUUCACCAUCUUGGGCCCAACCGACUUUUUAUAAUCCUUCUGAUAUGGGCUCAGGUAGUCACCUUGAUCCCGAGAUGGAAGAGGAGAAGAUCGGUCCCCAGACUGCAAGCUGACCUCAGGACUCUUGUCGGAGGUUUUCUCCCCAACACUCUUACGAGGUGGAGGAGGGGGCAGAGCAGGAACAGGCGCCUUGGAAGGACCAACGCUAGGUUUCUUCGGAGGAGGAAGAGGGUUGCUGGAGCUACUCGGGGCCCGACCACGCUUCCUGCUCAUCGCACUGAGGAUCUUGUUAUCCAUUCCAGCGGCUAUGUCCACUAGCCCCGAGCCGACCAGGUUUGUUGGAGACAGGAGGUCUUGGCAGGUUUGCUGGACACCACUUUCCCCCAGCAAAGAAGAAUUUGUUCUUCCAAUUUUUGCACGAGGAGGGGAAACCGGUGAUUGGCUUUCUCUUCGCAGAACUGGACAUGAAGUAGUACCAGCCCGCCUCCCUUGGGCUGCUCCGCAGCUGAUACAGAUGUUUCACUUCAACAAGGGAAGGCUCCUCCGACCCGCACCUCUCCCACAACACAAACAUUACCAAGAGAACCCUCCACCCGUUCGGGUGUAGCUGACCUGGGGCCAGGUGCAUACCUCCUAAUAUCUUGGCAAAAUAACGUUGCAGGGGCAGCCGAGCUCCUAGUUUAGGCUAUGUAAUCAAUAGGGUAGGAAUCAGCCUCCACCCUAUGGCCAAGAUUCCUUUUCUUAGCAGGUCCACUCGGUCCAGAACUGCUCCCCUCACCAUCACCAACUCCUUCAGGGAUCCCAACCCCACCAAAGCUGUGGUUCUCACCAGAGCCCGAAGCAGUUCCACCUCUAUUCCCUACAAGCUCUGGUUCGGGGGAGGGAGAGACAACCAAGGGGCGUGGGUACUCAAGGGUACCCCUACCAUGGGAAGGACCUACACUACUGGAGGGACCUAAGAAAUCAGUGGGUAUUGACACAUUGAGGCCUGAAUCCCCUGAUUCUUCAUCACCCUCAUCAACAAUUAACUUUCUCUUUCGGUUUGACAUAUCGGAAUCUCAAAAAGAAAACAAAGAAAACUCGAAUAUACGGAUACACAAGGGGGCAACACGGAACCCAAUCAACAACAACCAGAGAAGAGAUUAAAAGCAGUACCUGAAAUGAACUGGCCUUGAUAGCGCUGCCGUGACCGAGAAAAAACCAGCAAGUAGAAGCCUCGGACGCAGGAAGUAUGAGUAAAGUGCAGAAAAUGGGGUAGGUUAACGACGGAGAGACGAGUAACAAAACGAUGACGAUGUGAGUCUAGGGAUUUGAAACGAAAAGGGGGAAAUGAAAGCAUUUAAGUGAUGGAGACGCACCGUACAUCGAGGACAGAUAGCCCGUCGUUUUAAAUUUCAAAUAUGAAGAGUCUGGAGAUGCCACAUCACUAACCGUUACAAGGGGCCAGGAUAGAUGUAAGCCCAGAUAUGCAAUGGACAUGCUCAUUUAGGCCCAUACUCAGGUCGAAAUCUCCCCAGAAGAAAAAUGGUACCUCAGAUCCGUCUCAGUAAACAGAAGACCAGAUGAGAGGCUCCCCGGGUUGGUGAGUUUUGACAAUCAGUUUCUACUCUUCACUCGUUUCACUCGCCAGACCAGAAACUGGGGGACUGGUGUUGAGUACAUAAAAGCACCAGGUCGGCCAUACUACUAUUUCCGCCCCAGCAAGGAUCACCUCAGCCAAAUGGUACGAGCAGAACCGGGGGCAACACGAGCCGAGCAGAGACGAAUACUGACCAGAGGCAUAUACCGAGCCGAUACCUGUCCCCCAAGAGGCGGGAACACGAUCUCACAAGAUCGCGGCAGUUGCGCUUUCCCAGAACCGUUGCAGGAGACGCGAGAUCCCACGUUUGCCCAUAAUGCAGCAGUUAGAGUCCCAUGAGGGGCUGCCACGACCCGAAAAAGGUGGGACGAAGGGCAAAACGGAAACAUGGGGACAGUGGCUAUAAAAGAAGAAGAAAUCGACAAAGAAGGGGACAGAAAAAUUGAGGGAGGGAAAACGCUGCCAAAUUUCAACCAGGCCAUUUUCUUACAAAUCUCUAACAAACUUCUUGAAUCCAAAUUACAUUGUUUUCCCGUGAACACCUUGUGCUAACUUAAGCAUCGGAGGGUUUACGCCGGCAAAACCACCGGCGUCUCUGAUCCGUUUUUGCUGAACGCAGGUCUGGUGAGAGAGGGAAGGGCGAUUCCAACCCCAGUGGUUCGAGUGACAGUUGAUAACACAAACGUUGGUGAUAGAAUCUGGUCGGUCCAAGGGCGAGCAGAUUUCAGCAUCAACAGUGUAUUCAAAUAUGGUAAUAUGCUGUCGUUGAGGAAAUUACCACCAAGAUUUAAGAUCUUCAGAUGUCUCAAACUCCCAAAGCUGUCGUAAGCUUCAAAUGCAUAUGAAUUACUAUCAUUAAUUAGUCACUGACAAAAUAAUUAUGAAUGAGUAAUAUAUACAUAUGCUUGUACCUUUAUUCUCAUAGAAGUCAAGGCACUGCAAUUCUUCGAAAGGGUGAAACAAUGACAUAUUCAGAAGAGAAACUUCAUAAGAAUAAAAGAGUUAUAAUCAGAGUAGUUGAUUUUUUUUUUCUGAUUGAGUGAGAGUUGCGUCACCCGUCGGGUGGUGGCGUUGCACUUAACUCUCUCCCAAUCGUUACAACAAUCAGACGACAUUCCAUCAUCAUCAAAUCAUGAAGAAAGAACUUCGUCAUCAUAUCCAACAUCACUGGCUGAUGCGAAGAAGCUCUUGAUUUCCAACAGAGCAAUCCUCUCUGUUUCCAAGCAUGCUUUGUAUCCAUGUAACUGAAUCAAAGCUAUGCCAAUCCACAAUGACAACUUCAUCAAAAGCAUUUUCAUUAUUAAUAGUAACUGCAAGAGAAACACUCACAAGAUUUACCUGUCAAUUGUUGCUCUCUUGAAUUUUUUCUGGUUCUCUAGCAAAUAUAUGACUUAUAUAUACAAUGGAAAUUUUGUGCAGAAUGAAAAUUUUGCGCAUUUUCACGUGCCCUGUCAAUGAGAAAACAUGCAUUGAUUGAAAAAAGUAAGUGAGAGAAUAUUACCUGUUGAUACAUGUUAUCUACUUGUGAAAUAAUUGAAGAUGCAAAAUGGUUGAUUUCACGGGCCUGGCCUUUGGCAAAGUGAAAUGUUAGCCACACACUUUUACCAGUCCAGUGUCAACAUUUGUAGCAUAAGGAAAUUGCGGCAUCUCAGCUGGAUUUUGAGGGUCGCUAUUUCGUAUAUCAGUCCCAUUAUUUGUUAGUGGGGACUCACACUCUGUCCUAUAAUGGGCUCACAAAUAUUUAACAUAAUUUUGAUAAUUACUUAAACCGCGUGUCCUUGAUAAUUAAAGAAAAAGAGAAGUGAAUGCAGUAAAAGAUACUGAUGGCCGUAAUUAUGCAAAUAAAUACAAGACUUUACAGUAGAUUAGACCACCAAUUGUGCUUUUUCGUCCAAUAAUAAUGCAUCUGCUUUAGCACGAUACGAGUGAACUUAGGCUUAUCUUUCUUUCGCAAUGUAAAUUCUUGCCAAAAAAUACAUGUUAUCUACUGGUGAAUUAGUUUGAUAAAAUAAAGGCUUAAAGUUUAGUUGAGUAAAAUGUUGGCGUAAAGAAAUUAGCUACUGGAAAAUCACCAAAUGCUUGUUAAGGUAAUAUACAAUUGCAAUUGAACAUCAAGUGAUGGAAACAUCAAAAACCCCAUAAAAAAAUUAAACAAAACCAGUUGCAAUGCAAAUAAACAAGUUUUCAGUUAAGAUGGCAGAACUAAUUCCUUCACAAUCAAGUGUGGUUUCUCAAUUUGUUCUAUUUGCCCAAAAAGACAUGGUCAAGUAUCUGAAAGCAUUUUUAUUUAGUUGACUAUUCGAGUUUGAAUUUGGAAUAAGAGGUUAAAAAAUAAGUUUUGUCUUUUCUCACCCCUUUUACCUUUAGAAAAAAAAUUUAAUUUUUGGUCAAGCUGACUUAAGUGCAUCAUGUGCAAAUCACGUGACAUCCUGAGCUACCAUGUAAUUUGGCUUUAUAAGUGUUUUCUGUUUCUGAAAACAAAAAAUAAUAAAAUGGAAAUGCCUUUAGCUUUUGGCUAGACAUUUUCAGAAACGUUUUUCGUGAACAGAAAAAGUUUUUGUAAAGAGGCAUUGAGCGGUCAGGCGCUUGUCGUGGCCUGCGGCCUGCAGUCCUCAACAAUCCUCAUCUGGCCUCUUUAUAAUCCACUUUUAAUAAAAUAUAGAUAAAAAUAGAAAUAUUACUGAUUUCUAGCACAUCAUUCAAAUUAGUUGCUAUUGUAUAUCUAGCUAGUUUUGAACAAAGUAAGUGAGAAUAUUACAUACAUCUGCUUUAGCAAGAUACGAGUGAAUUAAAACAUUUGACCAGAUGAAAGAGAGAAAAGAAUGUUGAAAUAUUGACUUGAAUAUUGUGGUAAAAUGAGUUUGACUUUAGUACCGACCAAAGAAAUAACUGAAGAUGCAAAUUAAUUGGUUAGUUUGAGGUGCAUGGCUAUUGGCAAAGUGAAAUGUUAGCUUUACACUUCACUUGUGAAUGUACAACAACAUUUGCUGCAUAAGGAAAUUGCGGCGUCUCAGCCGGAUUAUGAGAGUUGUUUUCAAAUCCCAUUUCUCUUCUUCGUAUUUGUUCAUUGCCACAACAUUUGAUGCAAAAUUUGAUGACUACUCAAACGCGUUUCCGCAAUAACUAACGAAAGAAAAAGCGAACGAAUAAGCAAGAGAUACUGAUGACAGUAAUCAUGUAAAUGAAUACAAGGCUUUACAAUAUGCUUUCUUUCACAUGUAAUCUGCUGGUGAAAUAAUUUUUAUAAAACAGAGGCUUAAAGUUAAAGCUGAUUAAAAUAUUGGCGUCGAGAACGCUACAUGGAAAAUUCAACCGUGAGCUGCAGUCUGCAGUCCCCAACAAUCCGGGAAAAGGUUGAGGAGGCGCGCCCCUGCACAUUAAUUUGGCAGGUCUGAUGGGAUUUAUAAAUUAAAAUAAUGUAAUUUUAUAUAUUUUUUAAAUGAAAAAUUCAUUGAUGCCGCUGUGCGAUCCAUUGGAUCCUCGCGUGUUGGCUCCACAAGAGUUUCUCCCUAACAAUCUCCAUCAAAGCUCUUUAUAAUCCAUUUUUGAUAAAAGGAUACAUAUAUUUAUUCAAAUAUUAGUAAAAAUAGAUACAAUGCUGAUUUUUAAAUUAUACUUAAAUUAUACUUAAUGAACAUUUAGACCGACCUGUAAAUCUAUGAAUUCAAACUUCCACAACACCAUCAAUUAUUUUUAGCCUGCAUGUUACAUAUAUUUAUUCAAUUAUUUUUAGCCUGCAUGUUUGAUUGUGCUUCUGUUCUAUAGCUUCGUUAUGUUCAUUGAUAUUUUGUUGUUGUGCAGUAGUACCCAGUGUUCUUGAUAUCGCAAUCAUCACCCCAUAUGAAUCACAAGUUGUUCUCAAGGUAUACAUUUAUACUUAUCAUUAAUACUUUUUUGUUUUGCCCUCACCAGCUAUGAUUAGCAUAUUAUUUUUUAAAACUUUAUAAAUAUAAAUGAAUUAUUAAUUAAUCAUCUUUUUUUUUUAAUUGAAAUUUGCUCAAAGGGCAUCUCCACUGACAAGAUACUUGAUGUGAAAAAAUUGUUGGCUUCCAAUGUAGAAACUUGCCACCUCACAAAUUAUUCUCUCUCUCACGAGGUAUAUAUAUUUUAUUAUCUCUCCCCUUUUUUUUUUAAAUUAUAUAGAUUAUGAAAUUUCAUUUUAAAUUAAUGAAAAUAAGUAAAAUGGCUAACUUAGGUUUUGUUGAAGGCUGUAAAUGGUAGAUCGGAUGUCGAUAAGGGAUGGAGCCGCUGCCGACGAGGGCUGAUGUUGCCACCGAUGAUGGGAGUUUCUUCGGUUUGGGAGAGAUGGGUGAAAGAGAGUGUUGGGGGAGAAAUGAGAGAGAGGGGUAUUUUGGUCUCAAAGGUUCUUUUAUGGCUAUUGUUGAUAGAAAUUUGUUUGGGGGGUUAAGAUGGAAAAAAUCAAAACUUUUAUGGUUAUUGGUGUAAAUUUCCCUAAUUUUCAACCAACCGUAAAUUUUAAUCUAUUAAAAAAAUUAGUUGGCAGACAUGUAAACAGAGCAAGAAGGUUUACAGAAGUGUAUUAUUUUAGAAUUAGUAACUUUUUCAUGAAUAAUUAAUAUGAUUAGAGUUUAACAAAAUUAUAUGUAAAGGCUUGUUUAAAGAGUGAAAAUUUUAUUUUUUUCUCAUUUUUUAGUGCUUAUAAUUAAAAUUUAAUCUAGAAGUAUUUUAAUUAUAAAAAAAUUAUUUUCAAAAAUAAGUUUGACGAAUAGUUUAGUGCUAAAAUAAUAAAAGAAAAUAAUAGUUUAGUGCUAUAAUUAUUUUCUACUUAUAAUUAAGUUAAUAUUUAAUAGAAAGAACUAAAAUAAUAAAAGAAAAAAGAAUUUGCCCGGCAAUUCCUUGUUAUUUACAUUUUUGGCACUGUCCUUCGCAGAGGAAUACACCGAGGAAUCUCAGGCCGUGGCACACGUGCGGCAGCUUCUCGACAUCGUCGUGUGCACCACAUGGUUCUCCAAGUCCAGAAACUCCCGAUUGCCGCCACCGUCAGAGUCAUGUGCCAAAAAGAACGGCAGUAGGCCCCACCCGCCUUCACCAAACUCUGCCGCUCUGUCUGAUGGAGCAGCAACAGCAGCAGCAGAUAACCGAAGCGGGCCCCGCGCCACGUCAUCGCCAGUUUCAUCGGCGGUUUCUCCGAGUCUGGACAUGGCGACCAUUCACCCGACGCCGAAACUCUCCGAGUUUUAUGACUUCUUCUCUUUCUCUCACCUCACUCCCCCCAUCUUAAGUAAGCCUAAUUUUCAUUUAUUUAUUUGUCUUCGUUUCUUACAUGGUUGAUCAAAAAAAAAAAAAAAAAAAGAAAGAGGAAAAUGAUAUAAAUAUAUGUGAUUUAUUUGAAUAUGAAAUUUGUUUAUUGAUUUUAAUUUUUAAUAAUUUUGAUUUUGAAGAUUUGAGAAAAUGUGAACGCAAAGAAGGAGAGAAGCGCGACGGUGAUUAUUUUGAAAUUCAGGUACCAUUUAAUAUAAAGUUCUGAUUAUUGUUGUUUGUUGUUUGGGUCGAUCAAAAAAAAAAAAAAAAAAGAGGAAAUGAUAUAAAUAUAUGUGAUUUAUUUGAAUAUGAAAUUUGUUUAUUGAUUUUAAUUUUUAAUAAUUUUGAUUUUGAAGAUUUGAGAAAAUGUGAACGCAAAGGAGAGAAGCGCGACGGUGAUUAUUUUGAAAUUCAGGUACCAUUUAAUAUAAAGUUCUGAUUAUUGUUGUUUGUUGUUUAUGGACUAAUUAAUUGUAGAGUUAUUCAACUUGUUAUUUUUGCUGAUGAAUUGGCCAAUGAGUGUUAAAGAUUUAAUAAUCAUUGUCCGCCAAUUAAUAAGAAUGCAUGAAUUAUUUUCAUGUCUUCGUAAGUAAUGUGAGUAUUUGAAAGCGUGGGAAACUGUAUUUUGUGCUCACAGAUAAAAAUCUGCAAUGGAAAGCUUAUACAAGUAGUUGCAUCAGUAACAGGGUUCUAUACUUUGGAGCCAAUUGCGCCCGGUACACCUCCAUACUUCAAAAAUUAUCUCAAUACCCUAAAAUCAGUUUUUGCCGAAAUUUUCAUUGAUACCCUUUAAAAACGGAUAGGAAAUUACUAAGCUAUCCUCAUUUUAAAACAUUUCAACUCAACGGACGGCACUUCUCCCUUCUCUACUGAAGCAAACAAACACUCAUCUGCUGCAAUUCCCUCCAUUAUCAAACUCAAACAAACAAACACUGCAAUUCCCUCACCGGCAUCACCUCUGCAAUUCCCUCACCGGCAUCACCUCUACAGAAACAAAUAUUCAUUCUCCAUACAUGGUAAAUCGAACUUCAACACGAGUAAACUAAGCUUGAGAAGGGGAAGCUGCCACAACUGAGAAAGAGAAGCCUAGUUCGUCGCUACAUAAUCGCCGGCGAGAGCGGAUCCUUUACUGUAAAAUAGUCAUAAUUUAACUAGUUGAGGUAAGUAAUUCUCUAUAAAUAGUUUUCUUGUUGAUAUUCAGGGGAAAAAACAACAAAAAGUUAGGGUUUAUAUAGAAAAAAUAGAUUAAUUAGUUGCGGGUCUCUCAUUACAUGUUCAAAAACAAAUUUUUAGUUGUUUUACUACAUGCAAAUUGUGAAAAAUUGAUGGAUUGUGCCGAUUAUAAUUUUGUCAUGUAACACACAAUUUGGUCGUGUAAGGUUAUGUAGGAUUCAAGGUUGUGUAUUACACGACCUUCAUGUAUUGCACUUACACGACCUUCAUGUAUUACACGACCUCAAAAUUACACGACUUUUUUCACUGUUGUUAAUUCAUUAUAAUAACUUAGUUGUUUAAAGACUUAAUUUUUGCUAAGAAUUUAUAUUUGUUGCUAUGCAGAAAAUGUCAACGAAAAGUAUUCAGGAAAAAAUGAAAUGUGGCAAACCGAAAGCUGAAAAUUACUAAUUUGUCAUCGUUAGAACCAAUAAGAAUAAUGUGAAGGUUCAUUUUGUUAUUAUUUUUAACUAAGUAUGUUAUUAUUUUUAACUACGUACAAAUUGUGUAAAGUUAUUAAUAUUUGCUGCUGUGCAGAUUCUGACAACAUUUGAUGAUAACCCGAGUAUUGCCACACUUGCGACUGUGUUUUCAACUAGCCUUUGAUUUAAGAGUUGUUUCUAAUUGAUUUCAUGGAUUUAUUAUAUGCAGGCAUUCCUCAUGUAUGCAUGUAUGCUUCGGCAGAGGAAGAAAGCAGUUUGAAGAUAAAAAAAAAAAAAAAACUUUUUAAAUGGUUGUAAUAUGUUUAAUUACGAUAUCCAUUAGUGUAUCAUAUCCAAAUAUUGACAUUGUAAACUGAUAACUUUGUUUAUUUAUAAUAAUUAAUCUCAUCAUUUCUCAAAUUGUCGAAUAUGCAAUUUUUUUUUUUUUUGCUGUAAUUUAUGAACACACGAUUUGAUCUACGUUCAAAAGUAAUGCAAAGCGGGUUUCUAAACUUCAUUCCACUAGCUACUUCCUCUAAGAAAAAUUCCACAUCAUCAUUGGUUUGAAUUGUAACUGGUGGCAUAGGAUCAGAUGUCUUAAGUUUGAACUUCAUUGUGAUUUCGAAUUCCGAAGUAUCUAUAUCAAUAACUUCAACUAUCUUCUCCAUCAAUUCGGCAUAUAUUGUCGAUCGUGGUAUCAUUAUCCCUUUAGCCUUGAAACCUUUGAACUUAUACUCGUCAUUUUGCUCAAUUCAUUCACCAUUGAAGAGAAUAGCUUCAUGUAUUGCACUUACACGACUUCAUGUAUUUCACGACGUUCAUGUAUUACACGACCUUCAUAUACUACACGACCUCAUGUAUUACACGACCUCAAAAUUACACGACUUUUUUUACUGUUGUUAAUUCAUUAUAAUAACUUAGUUGUUUAAAGACUUAAUUUUUGCUAAGAAUUUAUAUUUGUUGCUAUGCAGAAAAUGUCAACGAAAAGUAUUCAGGAAAAAAUGAAACGAGGCAAACCGAAAGUGAAAAUUACUAAUUUGUCAUCAUUGGAACCAAUAAGAAUAAUAAAAAAUAACCUUAGUGACGUACAAUUGGGGAUUUUUCGCAAAUCAUGUUUUGGGCACUUUUUGGACUUGAAUGAGUUUCAGUUUUGUGCCCAGUUGUUGCACAAGUUGGUAUUAAGGCAUAUGCAUUCAUCCGAUAAGGCAAUGUAUUUUAAGAUAGGGAAAAAAGUUUGUCGAUUUUCAAUGUUUGAAUUUGCAUUAGUUACUGGACUGAAUUGUGAAGAAAUUUAUAAACCUAACUUGGACAUUGUUGAUGACGGUGGUCGUGUAUGUGAUGUUUUGUUGGACGGUUGCACAAAGUUCACUAACACAACGCUAGGUCAGAUAUUUGAAGCAACUAAGUCCAAGGAUGAUAUGAAAAUGGUUAAAUUUGCCAUGUUGUACUUUUUGGAGGUUGUAUUACUUGGAAAAGAAUAUAGAUCAUCUAUAAUUAGGGAUCACAUUCUCCACAUUGACAACUUUGAAGAUUUCAAUAAAUAUCCUUGGGGCCGUGUCUGUUUUGAGAACACAUUAGAAAGUAUGAAGAAUGUGAUUGCAAUUAGACAGAAUAGAGAAAGGGCAAAUCCAGACUAUGUCCCUGAAAAGGAGGCAUACAGUCUUCAUGGCUGUCCAUUUGCAGUUCAGGUAACAAAUUGUCAAUAUUGGUUUCGUAGAGAUUAUUAAGAUUAGGAAUAUUAAUUAUUUCUUUUACUUGCACAGGUAUGGGCACUUGAAAUUUUCAGUGAAGUGUGUGAAACUUUUUCCUCGAAAUGUAAGCAUGUCAAAUAUCCAAGAAUUCUAAAUUGGACAAUCACUAAACAUGUUAGCUCUAAUUCGCUUGACUAUUCCAUAUUUGAUAAGAAAAAGGUAAUAACAAACAAUCUAGAUCGUUAGUGUCUUUCUUUUUUUCUUUUUAAUUUAUCUUUGACAUUUAUUAAUUGGCCUAAUUAUUACAGCUUAAGGUACUAGAGAAGUUGGAUGUCGCUGAUGAAAUAGAGGCAUCACAGCCUAAUCUACAAUGGUUUUGGCAAACAAAUUGGCUGCAACAACUUGAAAAUGAUUUUCUUGUUGACUCAAAGAGUAAAAAAUCAGCCACUCCAGUCUCAGAACAGAAAAGUAGCAGUGUUGUGCAGAAAAAUUCUGUGGCCAUGGAAGUUAAAGAGACUAAUAAACGUGCGAAGUGUCAAGUUAUGUCCAUGAAAUGCAAAACGAAUUAUGAACAUGCAAAUUCUGUUGAGGACAAAACUGUAAGUUUUUUUAAUCUUUUAAUAACAAUUUCAUUUUUCAAUUUUUUUUGUUUGCCUAAUAGGCUCUGUCUUGUUCUGCUUGUAAGGGUAAACGUCCUGGUUACAUUGAUAAUUUGAUUUCUUUUAUCGAGGACAAGUUUAAUUGUUUGGAUAAGCGUCUCAAAAAGAUCGAAGAGAAGGUGCAGAAAAUUGACUCAUUGGAGGAGAAUACAGGUGAUGUGAGGGAGAUGAGAGAACAAGUCAAUAAAAUUGUAGACUUAGUGGAGUUCCUAAAUUCAGCGGACUACAAUGUGAAGGUUCAUUUUAUUAUUAUUUUUAACUAAGUAUGUUAUUAUUUUUAUCUAAGUACAAAUUGUGUAAAGUUAUUAAUAUUGCUGCUGUGCAGAUUCCGACAACAUUUGAUGAUAACCCGAGUAUUGCCACACCUGCGACUGUGUUUCCAAGCUUCACCACAAAUGCAGGCAUAGUCAAAGAGGAUCCAAUAAUUAUUCCGUCUACACAGCAAGAGGUGAAAAAAUAUGAAAGAAAAAGGCGAUCUCGAAAGGAUGCAGCUGUUUUACGCACGCCAUCUACUAACCCAUUUCGAAAAUCGCGACAUGUCAACGUCGAUGAAGCAAAACAGCAAGUUCAGUUUGAGCAUUGGCUGAAGGAGGAUAAUAUGGAACCGUAAUUCCUUAUUUCUCUUUGUAAACUUACUUUUAUUUGAAACAAUAUUUCUUGGUUGACUAUAACAAGUAAUAAGUUUUACUCAUAUUUUCUUGGCAGAAGAUUUGGUUGGUCCCUGAAAGAUGAGUUUCAGCAUUUGAGAAAGAUUUCAAUUCUACGUGGGCUUUGCCAUAUAAGGUACUGUCUUUUCGGUUCCUUUGGCAGCCGAUUAUUUUCAAAGCUUGAAUUUUGCUUGUAAACUUCACCCAGGUUGGGUUGGUGUUGGUUCCCAGAGAUUAUGAUAUGGAAUGCCCAAACCCAUUCACGAGAGAUGAUAUUGUCAGCAUGGUUCCUGUGUGCAAGGUAAGACUAUUUUCUCUCUUAAUUGUGUUUUGAUUUAGUUUUUACAUUCUCAAUGAGUCACUCAUUUGUAAAUUGAAUGUAAUUGUGCUAUUUUUAUGGCAUUCUACAGCAUGUAGGUUGCACUUCAGCCGAUGGACGGACCUUAUUAGAGUCAUCCAAAAUUGCCCUUGAUAAAGGAAAACUAGAAGAUGCUGUAAAUUAUGGGACAAAGGUAAUAACCCACUCGAUCUAUACGUAAGAAUUACAUUAUUCUUUUCAUAAUAAGGCAUCUCUUGAUCUCAUAUGAUGUAUUACUUGCAUUGUAAGGCACUGGCAAGGAUGAUAGCUGUUUGUGGUCCCUACCGUCGGACUACUGCAAGUGCUUACAGUCUUCUAGCUGUAGUUCUCUACCAUACUGGAGACUUUAAUCAGGUAUGACAAUCUUCAAUUGUAUUUCAGUGUUAACUUGGUGAUUCUAAGUCUAGUAUAAUUAUAACGUCCUUCUGUACGGGGGUUCUCAUUCAUCGGGACAUUUGAUUUGAAUUUUUGUAUGUUAUGGUUAGUUUUUAUGGUCUUGUAUAAAGAUAUGCAUUAGGAAUUAUAAUUUUCUGGACUUAGGAAUUACAUGUACAGGCAUUAGCAUAAUUUUGAUAUCAGAUUAUAUAUUUUAACUAAAUCAAACACGUUCAUGAUUCUUAUGUUCCAGCAUUUCGUCUAAUGGCAUCUGCGUCUGAGUGUUAGAGUAGUGUUCGUAUGUACUCAAGAUAUCUUCUUCUUCAUUUUAGGCAACUAUAUAUCAUCAGAAGGCAUUGGAUAUUAAUGAGAGGGAACUUGGUCUUGACCACCCAGAUACAAUGAAAAGCUACGGGGAUCUUUCAAUUUUCUAUUAUCGCCUUCAACACAUUGAAUUGGCUCUUAAGUGAGUAGCACUACUUGAUUUACCGGAGCAACUUUGUUUUCAUUCUUUAACUGAUUAAGGUUUAUUUAUUCAUAAAUUAAAUUGGAAGUUUCGAAAAAUGUGACCUUUGCAUUGAAUCUGCUUCGAACGAAUGCAGUUUUUAUCUACCUACUUUAGCUUUUAUUUGUCUUUUAUUGGCUCUAGCUCCUGAUCAUACCGUACCAUUGGCAGAUAUGUAAAUCGUGCCUUAUUCCUUUUGCAUUUUACUUGUGGACUUUCACAUCCAAACACUGCUGCAACAUACAUAAAUGUGGCUAUGAUGGAAGAGGGCAUGGGAAAUGAUCAUCUUUCUCUUAGAUAUUUGCAUGAGGCCCUUAAAUGCAACCAAAGACUAUUAGGAGGUGACCAUAUACAGGUUUUUCUCUCUCUAUUUACGCAUGUAUACACACUCUUUAGAAUUAUAAAUCUUUCUGUAAACUCAGAAUUUUGUUUGAUUUCUUCACGUGACAGACAGCUGCAAGUUAUCAUGCCAUAGCCAUAGCUCUUUCUUUGAUGGAGGCAUAUUCACUAAGUGUGCAACAUGAGCAAACUACACUUAAGAUUCUCCAAGCAAAGCUUGGACUAGAAGAUCUGCGUACUCAGGUGACUACAUGUAGUCAUAUUUUAAUUGGUUCUGUUGUGCAAUUUGGCUAGUUGGCUUCUCUCUUGUCAAUCUUUUACAGGUGAUAUUAUGAUAUAAAACAUAUUGUAUCGGCGGCCUAUUUUGGUGUUAAGUAUGGAUAUGACCCAUUCAUUAAUCGUAUCGAAAUAUCAAAAUACGGAUAUGACCCGUUUAUUAAUCGUGUUGACUUGUUUAAUAUUAAAUACAAACAAAUUAAAAAUUAAUUUAAAAAUAACAAAUGUGUCAAAAAAAUAAGUUAAAAUGACAUAAGUAUGACAUGAAUAAGUUUAUAACAUAAUAUGAGUAUGACAUGAGUCAUUAAUUUAGUGAUUAGUAUAUAUUUUAGUUUUUUUUUCCAAUAAUAUUAACACAUAAUAAUUGAUAUUUAUGUUAUAAACGUAUAAUCAUGUUGAGAUGGUCCAAAACAGAUAUGACCUGGUUAUUUAUCGUGUCGUGUCAACUCAUUUAUUAAUCGUGUCAAUAUUUGUUAACACAAAUAUGGGUCAUAUGUCGUAUUAUGUUGUGUAAUCGUGUCGUAAUCCAUUUUGCUACCUCUAAUCUUAACUGUCAUGAGAGAAUUUCUCAAGUUCCAUAUUAUUGAUGGGAAGAGAUUUUUGUUAUUUUGUUGUAUUUUGUUUUUCGUUUUACAGGAUGCUGCUGCAUGGCUGGAGUAUUUUGAAUCAAAAGCUCUAGAGCAGCAAGAAGCGGUACGGAAUGGAACCCCAAAGCCAGAUGUGUCCAUUGCGAGUAAAGGUCACCUUAGGUAUUAACAGGGUAUUCCCACAUUACUUGUUUCUAAAUUGUUGAUUAUUUCUUGUGGCACCAAGACCUAUAAUGAUCGCUUUUCGCAGUGUAUCAGAUCUCCUGGAUUACAUAGGUCCUGGUCAAGAUUCUAAAAGAAGCGAAGCACAUAGGAAACAACGACGUGCAAAGGUAGUACAUACUUAGUGCAUGUUUAGUAUGACUUAUCUAAUGGUCUUAAAUUUUUAUUUAAUCCUAUAAGCUCUUAUCAAAAUUUUUUGUGUUGUUUAAUUGUUUUUUUAGUAGAGCUCUUGAAAAUUAAAUAAACUAUUUUGCCUCUACUACAAAAAGCUCAAAUUUUGUGCUUUUGAGAAUAGAGGUUAAUUUUUUUUUAAAUGUUAAAUUAUCUAAAAUAUUCUCUAUUUAUAUGACAAUCUUAUUUUAUUCUUUUCAAAACAUAACUUUAAAAAAUUUGCUUAUUAAAGUAAUUUUAUAAUUUUUAAUAAAAGCUCUUAUUGACAACCAAACAACACAAAUUUUUGAGUAAAAACUUUACUUAUAAAAUCUUUACUAGCAGAACUCUACUCAAAUAAGAUCUAUUUGAAAAGCUAUGUGAAAUGAAGCAUUAAGCAUGCUGCUGUUCUCUGUUCCUUUUUUCUUGUGAUGUCCAUCUGAAUGGAUUCUUAAACUAAUUGUAGUUAGGAUUUGGUAUUUUAGAGUACACUCUGCUGGCAUAUAGUUUUGGAUUUGCUGAUUACACGAGUAAACUUGUUGUCCAUGCAAAAUGCAACUAACUAUUGCUGGAUAAUAGUUCUACUUUUCUGAGUGAACUCUGAAGGCACCAAAUAUAAACAUCCAUUUCUACCAUACCCCAACAAAAAGAAAUCUAACAUGCUUAUAUAGAUCACAGACAUGAUUGAAACUUUAGAAGGUUCUGAUCUAUUGAUGGCCAUAGAUUGGGCCAGCUGAUAGUUAGUAGGCAAUGAUGGAGGGUUGCUUGGUCAAGCUGCUAGUUCUUUAGAAAUUCAGAGAUGAUGAGCAGAACGAGUGAUAGUUUUUGUUUUACCCCGUAACCUUGAACAGAGUGAGAAGAAACCAUUAAUUUGAAGUGCAAUGGAUGGAUAUGACGGAUCUAUCAUUUUGGCUAGGAGAUGGAGUUCUUCCAUUCUACUGUUAUUUAAUGGUUGUUAUUAUUGAUUCUAGAAAAACAUUUUUCGAUUUGGCAGUUUGAGUUUUUCCCUUUUUUUUUUUUCCUCAUUUUGUAGGCCUUAGAGAACCAAAUAAUACUACAUAUUAGAAAGACAGGAUUAUUAUGUGCUAAUUUGAAGUAUUACCUGGUUGACAAUUUAAGACAAUAGUAAAGUAUUUCGCUGUGAUUAUUUUUUUUGAGAAUUCCAUGAUUCAAAAGGCUGAAGAAUUUCAUUAGUUUAACAUAAUAUAUAUUAGCAUAAUUUCUCACUGAGUGUUUUUUUCAACAUUUCAGGCAUGUACAUAUCAAAUUCCCAUUUAUGUUCCACUGAAUUCUGCCUCAUGUUAUGUCUGGAUUUGUUGUAAUAAAUUUUGCUAUUGUAAAAUUACAAGAUGAUUGUAACUUAAAAUGAAAUAUUUCUAUUUGCUCAAUUUUUGACAUUUUAUAUGCAUACAAGUUAAAAAGGUUUUGUUUUCUUUUUUUGGUUUAUUUAUUUUUUUCAGGUAAUGCAGAUUAGGGAAAAGAUUCCCCCAACAAAAAGAAAUCUAACAUGCUUAUAUAGAUCACAGACAUGAUUGAAACUUUAGAAGGUUCUGAUCUAUUGAUGGCCAUAGAUUGGGCCAGCUGAUAGUUAGUAGGCAAUGAUGGAGGGUUGCUUGGUCAAGCUGCUAGUUCUUUAGAAAUUCAGAGAUGAUGAGCAGAACGAGUGAUAGUUUUUGUUUUACCCCGUAACCUUGAACAGAGUGAGAAGAAACCAUUAAUUUGAAGUGCAAUGGAUGGAUAUGACGGAUCUAUCAUUUUGGCUAGGAGAUGGAGUUCUUCCAUUCUACUGUUAUUUAAUGGUUGUUAUUAUUGAUUCUAGAAAAACAUUUUUCGAUUUGGCAGUUUGAGUUUUUCCCUUUUUUUUUUUUCCUCAUUUUGUAGGCCUUAGAGAACCAAAUAAUACUACAUAUUAGAAAGACAGGAUUAUUAUGUGCUAAUUUGAAGUAUUACCUGGUUGACAAUUUAAGACAAUAGUAAAGUAUUUCGCUGUGAUUAUUUUUUUUGAGAAUUCCAUGAUUCAAAAGGCUGAAGAAUUUCAUUAGUUUAACAUAAUAUAUAUUAGCAUAAUUUCUCACUGAGUGUUUUUUUCAACAUUUCAGGCAUGUACAUAUCAAAUUCCCAUUUAUGUUCCACUGAAUUCUGCCUCAUGUUAUGUCUGGAUUUGUUGUAAUAAAUUUUGCUAUUGUAAAAUUACAAGAUGAUUGUAACUUAAAAUGAAAUAUUUCUAUUUGCUCAAUUUUUGACAUUUUAUAUGCAUACAAGUUAAAAAGGUUUUGUUUUCUUUUUUUGGUUUAUUUAUUUUUUUCAGGUAAUGCAGAUUAGGGAAAAGAUUCAUGGAGCACAUCAUGAUAUGAUGGUGGAAGAUGCACUGCCCAAUGAUGGAUUGAAAAAAAGUAUGACUAUAGUGGAAAGCAAGACCGAGGAGGUAAUAGAAGACCGUGUUCAACCUGAAGAGCCAGAAGAGAAUGAUGAUAUUACUAGAUAUGGACCGGCAAUUUCAGGUGAGUUUGUGGAAGAAACAAAUUCAGAUGAGGGGUGGCAAGAAGCCAAUCCAAAAGGUAGGUCAGGAAAUGCUGCUGUUCGGAAGCUCAGCCGGAGGCAACCUGUUCUUACAAAGCUAAAUGUCAAUGGUUGUGAACAUUCAAAUCUUAGAGAAAAAGGCAAUAGACGGGAAAUUGUAUCUCCAGUACGGGAAAAAGCUUCAAGGACCACCACCACUGAGUUAACAGGCAUAAAGGAUUCAAUUAAACAGGUGAGUUUGUGGAAGAAACAAAUUCAGAUGAGGGGUGGCAAGAAGCCAAUCCAAAAGGUAGGUCAGGAAAUGCUGCUGUUCGGAAGCUCAGCCGGAGGCGGCCUGUUCUUACAAAGCUAAAUGUCAAUGGUUGUGAACAUUCAAAUCUUAGAGAAAAAGGCAAUAGACGGGAAAUUGUAUCUCCAGCACGGGAAAAAGCUUCAAGGACCACCACCACUGAGUUAACAGGCAUGAAGGAUUCAAUUAAAUUGCAGGCAAAAGCUUCUGUCUCCAAAGUUUAUGCAAGUCCACCAAACCUUACUGCCAUGGCUUCCAAGUCGCUGUCUUACAAAGAAGUAGCUGUGGCACCUCCAGGUACGGUUCUAAAGCCAUUACCAGAGAAACCGGAUGAAGAAAUUGAAGAAAAAACUGAAACACAGAUGUGCAGUAAUGCUCCUGAGACAUCAAAGGCGGAGUUGAAUAACCAUUUCUCUCCCGUUGAAGAUGCGCCAGUUGAUGGUCAGUCUCAAGAAACUCAUGGAAGUGUAACUCAAUCUGAAACUACUGCUGCAGAUACCGAGGAAGUUCCUUCUUCUUCUAAUGAGGAAAAGCCCAUGGAAACAAAUGGGAGUAAGCUUUCUGCCACAGCUGAACCAUUCAACCCAGGAGCUGUCUCCAUGACUCAUCUGCUAAACUCUGUAGCAGCCACGAGUAUUUAUGAUGCGAGAACUAGUCAAGGUAUGCUUGCAGAACCUGCUGUACCUUCGGCUGCUGCUAGAGUUCCUUGUGGGCCAAGGUCGCCUCUCUAUUAUAGAAAUAAUUAUUCUUACAUGAUGAAACAUGGAUUUCCAAAAUACCACUCUUCCAUUAUGGAAAGAAACCUGUCGGGGCCUUCAAGAAUAAUGAACCCGCAUGCACCCGAGUUUGUGCCAAUGAGAGGUUGGCAAAUAAAUCCUGGAUAUGCAGAUUCAAAUGUUUCAAAUGAGUCGAACUCUUCAAAUGACACAAGUGAGGCAGACGAUGAGAAACUUGACAAAAUGUCCAGUAUUCAAGGCGAGGAUAAUACCUCAAGAAAGAGCAGUACAGAGGCGGAGAAGUCAGAGCUGGCAAGACAGAUACUACUUAGCUUCAUUGUAAAGUCAGUCCAGCAUAAUAUGGAUGCUCCAAGUCAUUCUUCAGGCUACGAAAAGAAGAUUGGGUAUUCAGAAAAUUCUUCAGAUGCAAUUGCAAAUGAUAAAUUGUUAGUUAACAGAUUGCAAAUGAUCCUUUAUGGAAAUGAAAAGGGCAAAACAAACUUGGCAUCUCAGUCCAAUGAUCAAGAACAGCAAAAACCGAAAGAUGAAAACCAAAAAAGUGGGGAUGGUGAAGGAUUUAUAGUUGUCAGAAAACGGAGAAGAAACCGACAGCAGAUCACAAAUGGGGUAACUGAGAUGUACAAUCAUCAAUCCAUCUGUGCUUCUGUUCGUUAAAAGAGAGAGCAAAGCAAUAAAAUGCAAAGGUGCCGUUCUAUUUCUCCCAAUUUUAUUCGAAAAAUUUGUUAGUGAAUGUUACCGUUGUAGAAAUAGUUAAAAUUUGGAGCAAGUUUUAAUCAAUACCUGAUUGUAUCAUUUUAGAUAUCCUUUCUGGAUGUUCUAAUAUAAUAUUUGUACAAAUCGGUUUCUUGUUUUGUUAAGAGAUUUUGUUUUGAUCAAUAAAUGAUAAAUUAAUUGGGCGAUUUUCCUCAUCAAGAGAUCUGUGAUGUUAUUCUAUAAUGGGUUUUAAUGUUUUAGACUGAGAUUUGUUGUUAAUUAUGCCUCAAAUUAUUUGGUAUUUGGUUGGUGCGUGUGAACAAUAAAUUCGGAAUGGACUUGAAUUGACCCACUGAUAGCUUAAAUUUGCACUGAUGAUAUUACAACUAACGUAGUAGUUGGCAAAAUUCCUUAUUAAAUUUAAAUUUGCAACCAACAGAAACUGAAGAAGAAGCCGUAAGUCUAAUCAUAAUGCAACCAAUUAAACGAAAUUGGAAACAUGAGUGUAGUUUUGGAACCAGAUUGAGAAUUUGAACAAACACAUACAUGGAUACGUAGCUGUUUGGAGAAAAGCCAACGGAUACAUAAUACAUCACGAUAAGUUAUACACGGCAGAACCGUAUGUGCCAAUAGUAGCAUGUGUCAAUCACCGAUGGAAAACAUAUUUGAAAAGCCAAUAGUAGCACGUGUCAAUACAUCUAUCAAUGAAAUAGAACCACAGUCUGCGCCAGUACGAGUUUAUCCAAAGUGCUGCAAAGAAGCCCAAAAUCACCGACACAUAGGAUGCUCCAAAACUCCAUCUUAAUGCCACCAUAUCAAUCACAGAAUCGCCUUCAUCUUCUCCUCCUCCUGUAGGUGUCGCUGGUGGUGCCAACGCACUGCUGCAUUUCCUCUUUAUCAUUGAGCCACAAAGAGCCGAAUUACCUUUAUAACUGCUGUCAUCAAAGGUGGCAAACUGCUCUUUGUCUGGGAUUGGGCCGGACAAAUUGUUGUAUGACACGUUGAAGUUUGAUAAAAAGUUGAGCUCAGUUAGUUGAGGAGGAAUUCGGCCACUUAAUUUGUUGCGGGAAAGGUCCAGGCUCUCUAUCAUUUUCAGAUUGGAAAAGCUCUCUGGUAUAGCACCUGAUAGUAAAUUAUUCGACAGAUUAAGUGCACGAAUAUGUUGAAGAUGCCCAAUUUCCCAUGGAAUUUCUCCACUGAACUCAUUGCUCGACAAAUCCAGUCCAGCCAUGUCGUCGAGAUUGCGACCGAUGAAAAAUUCAUAUCUAUACUUAGUCACAAAUUCUACACCUACUUGUUGAUCUACUCUAUCAUGUCGUUCACCUCGCGGCUGCGGAUCAAGAGUGGAAUUGUAGUAAGUAAAACUGAAAACACGAUUUGGGAUAGCAAAUCCGAAUCCAUAUGAAUAAUCAUCAAUCGCUUCUCUCCAAAAUGACACGUUACCCAAGCAUGAAGGUAUCGGCCCAUUAAGUCUGUUAUGCGAAAGAUCCAUGAUACCUAAUUUUCUUAAUUGGCACAAUUGAUUAGGAAUACGUCCUUGUAGAUAAUUCCCUCUCAAAAGAAGAACACGCAAAUUCGAAAGCUCAUUGAUCUGAUGAGGAAUCCGACCAAAAAGUUUAUUGCCCCUCAAAUCGAGAGUCAAUAAUGUAGAACUUCUAAGCAAUCCAAUUGGAAUUAACCCAUUAAUUGCAUUGUUAUGCAGAUAAAUGUGCCCCACUGAUGAAUGAUUGGAGAGAGAUACCAAGGACCCAGACAAACUAUUUUCAGAGAUGUCUAUAAACCCAAGACUUUCAAGAUUGCCGAGCUGGACCGGAAUACUACCUUGCAAAUAAUUUUCUGACAUUAAAAGAACCCGAAGGCGUGAGAAGUUGCCAAUCCAGUGGGGAAUAUCGCCGGAUAACUUGUUGUUGGAUACAUCUAAUACCUCCAGCAAAGUGGAGCUCAACAAACCAUCUGUCAUUUUCCCACUGAAAUGAUUGUUGUUCGAAUAUAACAAACUCAAAUAAGUCAAGUUCAUAUAAUUGGGAAAAAGCUGGCCAUAGAAAUUGUUAUUUGAUAGGUCCAACUUAUCUAAGGAGAGGCAACUAGAGAAUAUAGACCGAGGUAAUUCUCCUGAAAAAUUAUUUUCAGACAAAUCCAAAGUAAUUAGCUCUUUCAUCUCACUGAUUGAAUAAGGAAUAUUACCUUCAAAACUAUUUUUUGACAUAUCCAAAUAUAUCAAUUUCUGAAAGACAAUACCCAAAUUCUCUGGUAGCUUACCACAGAAAUUGUUAGUGGAAAUAUCAAGAUAACGAAGCUUAUCGUAUUUGGCAUUGGGAAGUCGCGGAAGAAUUCCUGAGAAUGAGUUAUUCCACAAAAUCAAGACUUCUAAUCCUGUGUUGUUUUGCAACAACCAAGUUGGGAAAUUGCCAACCAACUGAUUGUGAGAGAGAUCAAGGAAUUUUAAGUGGUGUUGGUGUAAAAGAAAACUACUAUUGACAUUUAAGUGGCAGUGAGAUAAUUGGAGAACCUUGAGAGGAUAUGUGGGGAGCCAGUUUUCGGUUUUCACUUGCAACAUAUCGUUUUGUGGCGAGAGUAGCAAGACCUCAAGCUUUGAAUGAUUAGCCAAUGAAUUUAUUGAGAAUGUUCCUUGGAAAUCGAUGAAAGAGAGAUCCAAAUAUUCAAGUGAUGUGAGGUUGGUCAAGGCAGAAGGAAAGUUUCCACUUAACUGAUUGUAAGAAAUAUCAAGAACUUUGAGAUGGGUCAAGUUGUUGAGACACUGAGGAAGAUGGCCCUCAAAAUUAUUUGAGCUUAAAUCCAACUCAAGAAGAUUCUUCAAAUUACAUAUUCCUGAAAGUGAAAAUAAAAAGCUCAGAUGUCAUAAAACGAAAACUAAUUAUAGCGCAUUCAAUCAUAAACCCAAUAUAAGACUUAUAAAACAGUCAUGAAAUCAAAUUGUCUAAGUAUUUUGGUCAACAUAAAUAAUAAUAGAAUGAUAUGAAUUUAUUUCUCAUAUAAUAUGAUGUUGAUUGCAAAAGCGUUUCAAUUAAUCUAACAAAAUAAUAAUAAUAAUAAUAAUAAUAACAUAAAAGCAGUCAGCAAUUCUUGCUCAUCAUAAUCCAUUCAAAAAGCGUUUCAGCAAUUAUCGUUGUUUAAAAUAAUGAUUUUCUGCGGAAGAGUUUGUUGACUUCGUCUUUUUCGUUGGAUAUUGGUUUUCUAAUCUCUAAAUUUGUUGGAUAAUGUAAAGAGAAACUCAUAAUAUAUUAGUUGCUUUCUUAAACUUUAUUUAUUCUUCUCAUAGCAUUAAAAAAAAAAACUAUUUGCCCAAGCGGGAAAAAAAAAAAAAAACUAGUCUUCAUAUUUAAUUUGGUCAAAGUACUUUGACCAACAAGUCACUGGGAAGUAUGAAUUGUGUAUCAGUAAUGCAAAUAUUGGGUGUGUUGGCAUUGUUUUUAUAUGUUGUUUUUUAUUUUUUGAAUUUAGAAAAUAUUAGAUAUGUGUUCGGUAGAUUGUUUCUGAAAUAUUUUUAAAAAUAUAAAAUUCAUUCUACACAUUUUAACAAAAGAAAUGAGAAACAACUUUUUCUUAUUUUUCUUAUUUUCCUUAUUUUCCAAUACAAUAUUAAGUUCCAAAAUGAAGAAUUCUCUUUACCUCCUCCUGAAAUAAUAAUAAUAUCAACAUUAUUAUUAUUAUUAUCAUUAGUUCUAAUUAUCCCUGGGUGACACAUGUUUUAAUAAAUUUGAAAAAGAUGACACAUGUUUUGAAAACAUUCGAGUAGGUGACAUUCCAUUAACUUUUACUGUUAAUUUUAACCAAUCGAGAGUAGAAUUGGAAAAAAUAGACUUUUUUUUUCAUAAAGCCAAAGAGACGAAAAUUUUGAAUUUAUACAAUACUUUACAAUUCAUAAGAUUUUUGCUUCUUUAUAUUCACAAAUCAGUUUGAUUCAACAAGAAUUUUUUUUUUUUAAAAAAAAUUAUUUGAUUUAACAAAAAAAACUUGUUAAUUAGACCUAGGUUUAAUUUUUUUAUAUUUUUCUAUUUAAAAAAUUAAAAAUGAGUGAGUAUGGGCAGAAACAUCAUUUUGUGGGGUAGAAAUGUCAUUUAAUUUACUAUUCUCAUUAAAAUUAAUGGCAAAAGUUAAUAGAAUGUCACUCGCUCGAAUAUUUUUAAAAAAUGUGUCAUCUUCUUAAAAUUUAUAAAACAUAUGUCACCUAGAGAUUAUUAUUGUUGUUGUUGUACCCAAAGAAUCAAUUUCCCUCACAAUAAUCUUUUCUUUUUAUAUACAUUAUAAUAUUUAUGUUUUUAUAUAAUAACUAAAUCAAAUAUGUAGGGUUUAUCAUUUUUCUUUGAACAAAAAAAAUAGAAAGAUCACCUAAUUUAUUCUUAAAAUUAAAAUAAUCAAUAUACAUUGCUUAAUCUUAAGUUUAUGGAAAUUAUUCCAAUAAUAAUUCUUUGAGAUAUUCUUACCAAACAUAUUUUUGUUUUUCUCAUUUUUUAGAUUAUUUUUUAAAAUGAUACUGAACACAUUUUUAAAUUUUAAAAAUAAAUUUAAAACCUUAAAUCCAACUCAAGAAGAUUCUUCAAAUUACAUAUUCCUGAAAGUGAAAAUAAAAAGCUCAGAUUUCAUAAAACGAAAACUAAUUAUAGUGCAUUCAAUCAUGAACCCAAUAUAAGACUUAUAAAACAGACAUGAAAUCAAAUUGUCUAAGUAUUUUGGUCAACAUAAAUAAUAAUAGAAUGAUAUGAAUUUAUUUCUCAUAUAAUAUGAUGUUGAUUGCAAAAGCGUUUCAAUUAAUCUAACAAUAAAAUAAUAAUAAUAAUAAUAAUAUAAAAGCAGUCAGCAAUUCUUGCUCAUCAUAAUCCAUUCAAAAAGUGUUUCAGCAAUUCUCGUUGUUUAAAAUAAUGAUUUUCUGUGGAAGAGUUUGUUGACUUCGUCUUUUACGUUGGAUAUUGGUUUUCUAAUCUCUAAAUUUGUUUGAUAAUGUAAAGAGAAACUCAUAAUAUAUUAGUUGUUUUCAUAAACUUUAUUUAUUCUUCUCAUUGCAUUAAACAAAAGUAUUUGCCCAAGCGGGGAAAAAAAAACUGGUCUUCAUAUUUAAUUUUGUCGAAGUACUUCGACCAACAAGUCACUGGGAAGUAGGCAUUGUUUUUAUAAUGCAAAUAUUGGGUGCGUUGGCAUUGUUUUUAUAAGCUGUUUUUUAUUUUUUGAAUUUAGAAAAUAUUAGAUACCUGUUCGGUAGAUUGUUUCUGAAAUUUAAAAAAAAAAUAUAAAAUUCAUUCUACACAUUUUAACAAAAGAAAUGAGAAACAGCUUUUUCUUAUUUUCCUUAUUUCCUAAUACAAGAUUAAGUUCCAAAAUGAAGAAUUCUCUUUACCGCCUCUUGAAAUAAUAAUAAUAAUAUCAACAUUAUUAUUAUUAUUAUCAUUAGGUCUAAUUAUCCUUGGGUGACACAUGUUUUAAUAAAUUUCAAAAAGAUGACACAUGUUUUGAAAAUACUCGAGUGGGUGACAUUCCAUUAACUUUUACUGUUAAUUUUAACCAGUUGAGAGUAGAAUUGGAAAAAAAUAGACCUUUUUUUUCAUAAAGCCAAAGAGACGAAAAUUUUGAAUUUAUACAAUACUUUACAAUUCAUAAGAUUUUUGCUUCUUUAUAUGCACAAAUCAGUUUGAUUCAACAAGAAUGUUUUUUAAAAAAAUUUGAUUUAACAAAAAAAAACCUGUUAAUUAGACUUAGGUUUAAUUUUUCUAUUUAAAAAAUUAAAAAUGAGUGAGUAUGGGCAGAAACAUCAUUUUGUGGGGUAGAAAUGUCAUUUAAUUUACUAUUCUCAUUAAAAUUAAUGGCAAAAGUUAAUAGAAUGUCACUCGCUCGAAUAUUUUUAAAAAAUGUGUCAUCUUCUUAAAAUUUAUAAAACAUAUGUCACCUAGAGAUUAUUAUUGUUGUUGUUGUACCCAAAGAAUCAAUUUCCCUCACAAUAAUCUUUUCUUUUUAUAUACAUUAUAAUAUUUAUGUUUUUAUAUAAUAACUAAAUCAAAUAUGUAGGGUUUAUCAUUUUUCUUUGAACAAAAAAAAUAGAAAGAUCACCUAAUUUAUUCUUAAAAUUAAAAUAAUCAAUAUACAUUGCUUAAUCUUAAGUUUAUGGAAAUUAUUCCAAUAAUAAUUCUUUGAGAUAUUCUUACCAAACAUAUUUUUGUUUUUCUCAUUUUUGAGAUUAUUUUUGAAAAUGAUACUGAACACAUUUUUAAAUUUUAAAAAUAAAUUUAAAAAUAGUAUUUUCAUUUUUAUUUGUGAAAACAACAAUUAGAAAACAAUAUUGGGCUCUUAUUUAUCAUGUUUCAACAUAAAAACACAGUGUAAAUUGUUUAAUAUGGGUUUCUAGAGAAUUUUUUAUGUUACUAUAACUCAAAUUCAAUGCUUCCAAGCUUUUGAAUUUAGCUAGUAUUGCAUCAAGAAUUAAUGAACAUAAGAAAAAAAAAUUUCAUUCAGAAUUUUAAAUAUUGAAAUAAAGAUAAAUAUCAUUGUUGAUUUUUUUUAUAAAAAAGAUUUAGAAUUAAGAGAGAGUGAAAGAAAUGAGCAGGUUAUGUCGGAAAUUGGUGAUAGAGUAUGUCAAGUACUAAACUUUGUAUAGAAAGCAGUGCUUCUAAUUUAAAUUUGAUCUAGUUUAAAGCAAUUAAAAAAUGGAAAUAUAUUAUCAUCUUGAUUAACAUCUAAAACAAUUUUUGUCAUUGGAGGAAGUGAAUUGUUAUAUACCUUGAAUUGUAGUUAUCCCACAAUUACCAAGAUCCAAUGUUUUCAAGUUUGGCAAAUCUGCGAAUCCUACAUGCGCUGAUAAAAAAUGAAAAUAUUACAUUUAAAGGAAUUGUAUGUGAUCCGCGCGUUUGAUGAACAUUAAUUCUACAUUUAAUUUGCUACUUAUCUCAGAUUCAGUGGCCUACCUAGCGUUGUCAGAUUUUGAUUACCGCUUAAAUCCAACACUUGCAGGUUUGUCAAAUUUGCUAAUCCUGUUAAAAAAAAACAUAAAUUUUGUCAAUAACAAUUAUGUCACUCUCGUCUAAAUUGUUUAAUUAAAAUAAUAUGGUAAAUAUUGAAUGAAAAUUAACUGUGCACAUUGUUAUUUUUUUGUUUAUAUUGAUAUUUUAAUAUAUACCGUCACUUUUAGCAUUACCAAGAUUUGGAGUGUUUGAAUCAUAAUUUGUAAAUUAGUUUGCACUUUGAGUAAACUUGAAAAUGUGAAAAAAGCAAUUAAAAAAUGGAAAUAUAUUAUCAUCUUAAUUAACAUCUAAAACAAUUUUUGUCAUUGGAGGAAGUGAAUUGUUAUAUACNNNNNNNNNNNNNNNNNNNNNNNNNNNNNNNNNNNNNNNNNNNNNNNNNNNNNNNNNNNNNNNNNNNNNNNNNNNNNNNNNNNNNNNNNNNNNNNNNNNNNNNNNNNNNNNNNNNNNNNNNNNNNNNNNNNNNNNNNNNNNNNNNNNNNNNNNNNNNNNNNNNNNNNNNNNNNNNNNNNNNNNNNNNNNNNNNNNNNNNNNNNNNNNNNNNNNNNNNNNNNNNNNNNNNNNNNNNNNNNNNNNNNNNNNNNNNNNNNNNNNNNNNNNNNACGUAGAUAAAAUCCAUUUUUUUAAAAAAAAUCCUGCUGUACGGCCAAGGCGGAUGUACGGUACAGCAGAAAAAACAUAAAUUUUGUCAAUAAUAGUUAUGUCACUCUCGUCUAAAUUGUUUAAUUAAAAUAAUAUGGUAAAUAUUGAAUGAAAAUUAACUGUGCAAAUUGUUAAUUUUUUUGUUUGUAUUGAUAUUUUAAUAUAUACCGUCACUUUUAGCAUUACCAAGAUUUGGAGUGUUUGAAUCAUAAUUUGUAAAUUAGUUUGCACUUUUAAUAAACUUGAAAAUGUGAAAAAAGCAAUAAAAAAAUGGAAAUAUAUUAUCAUCUUGAUUAAUAUCUAAAACAAUUUUUGUCAUUGGAGGAAGUGAAUUGUUAUAUACCUUGAAUUGUUGUUAUCCCACAAUAAUGAAGAUCCAAUGCUUUCAAGUUUGGCAAAUCUGCCAAUCCUACAUGCGUCGAUAAAAAAUGAAAAUAUUACCCAAGAUCCAAUGUUUUCAAGUUUGGCAAAUCUGCGAAUCCUACAUGCGCCGAUAAAAAAUGAAAAUAUUACAUUUAAAGGCAUUGUAUGUGAUCCACGCGUUUGAUGAACAUUAAUUCUACAUUUAAUUUACUUCUUAUCUCAGAUUUUUAAAGGCAUUGUAUGUGAUCCGCGCGUUUGAUGAACAUUAAUUCUACAUUUAAUUUGCUUCUUAUCUCAUAUUUAGUGGCUUACCUAGCGUUGUCAAAUUUUGAUUAUAGCUUAAAUCCAACACUUGCAGGUUUGUCAAAUUUGCUGAUCCUGUUAGUCAUUGGAGGAAGGAUAUUGUUAUAUACCUUGAAUUGUAUAUCAAGUACUAAACUUUGUAUAGAAAGCAGUGCUUCUAAUUUAAAUUUGAUCUAGUUUAAAGCAAUUAAAAAAUGGAAAUAUAUUAUCAUCUUGAUUAACAUCUAAAACAAUUUUUGUCAUUGGAGGAAGGAUAUUGUUAUAUACCUUGAAUUGUAUAUCAAGUACUAAAUAUUGAUAUUUUAAUAUAUACCGUCACUUUUAGCAUUACCAAGAUUUGGAGUGUUUGAAUCAUAAUUUGUAAAUUAGUUUGCACUUUGAGUAAACUUGAAAAUGUGAAAAAAGCAAUUAAAAAAAAUGGAAAUAUAUUAUCAUCUUGAUUAACAUGUAAAACAAUUUUUGUCAUUGGAGGAAGUGAAUUGUUAUAUACCUUGAAUUGUAGUUAUCCCACAAUUGCCAAGAUCCAAUAUUUUCAAGUUUGGCAAAUCUGCGAAUCCUACAUGCGCCGAUAAAAAAUGAAAAUAUUACAUUUAAAGGCAUUGUAUGUGAUCCGCGCGNNNNNNNNNNNNNNNNNNNNNNNNNNNNNNNNNNNNNNNNNNNNGCUUAAAUCCAACACUUGCAGGUUUGUCAAAUUUGCUAAUCCUGUUAAAAAAAAACAUAAAUUUUGUCAAUAACAAUUAUGUCACUCUCGUCUAAAUUGUUUAAUUAAAAUAAUAUGGUAAAUAUUGAAUGAAAAUUAACUGUGCACAUUGUUAUUUUUUUGUUUAUAUUGAUAUUUUAAUAAAAUUUCAAAGUUAGAUUAAAUAAUUGUAGUAAUAAAGCUUUUGAUUCAGAUCUAAUUAAAUUGAUCAUAUACUCAAAAAUGAUUUUAUUUUUUCUUUUUUAAAAAAAUUUUACUAAGAAAUUAGAAAGUAAAUUUUUGCCGUGUACCAAUUGUAGUCAAGUUUGUCAAGUUUUCCAGUCAAAAAUUGGUUUGAAUUUGACAUUAUGCAUAUGUAAAAAUUAAGGCCAUAAUAAUAUCACAAGGAAUUUGGGUAGUGACUUGUUGCCGUGUACCUUGAAUUGUAGUUAUUCCACAGUGAGCAAGAUCCAAUUUUUUCAGGUUUGUCAAAUUUGCCAAUCCUACACCAAUGAAAAGCAAAAUAUUACUUUUAAAAUUAUUGUAGAAGGUUGUGAUUAGUGUGCUAACUUGGUAAUUAUCUCAGUAGCCUACCUAGCCUUGUUAAAGAGCCACUAGUCAUAUCGGCGUUCCAGCUUAGAUCCAACACUUGCAAGUAUCUCAAAUUUGCUAAUCCUGCUCAGAAAACAUUAAUUUUGAUCAAGACAAUAUAAAUAUAUAUUUUAAUUAAGAAAUUAAUUAAGUUGCCUGACAUGUAUAUCUGCUGGCCUGAAACGUAUAUGUAUAUACCUUGCUUGGUUCUGGAACCUUCAAUGGAAUUCCAAUUAAGGAUCAAGGUGGUAAGUGAAGUUAGUGUAUUCAAAUAUGGUAAUAUGUUGUCGUUGAAGUAAUUAAAACCAAGAUUUAACAUCUUCAGCUGCUUCAAACUCCCAAAGCUAUCGUAAGCUGCAAAUGCAUAUGAAGUGUUAUUAUUAUUUAUGGACAAGAAAUAAAUGUAUACAUAUAUACGGACCUCUAUUCUCAUAGAUGCCUGCAAACCCAUUCCCAGAUAAGUCAAGACUUUGCAAUUCUUCAAAAGGAUGAAACAAUGACAUAUUCAUAAGCGAAGCCGAAGUUCCAUCAUAAUAAUUCAAUCUCUCUGUAUAAUUGAGUGAGAGUUGCAUCACACGUCGUGUGGUGGCGUUGCACUUAACUCCCUCCCAAUCAUCACAACAAUCAGACGGCAUUCCAUCAUCCUCACCAACCCAUGAAGGAAGAAUUUCGUCAUCAUAUCCAAUAUCACUGACUGAUAUGAAGAAGCUCUUGAUUUCCAACAGAGCAGUCCUCUCUGUUUCCAAGCAUGCUUUGUAUCCAUGAAUUUCAUUCAUCAAUACAAUAAUCCAAAUUAGUGACAUUAAUGAGAACUUAAUACAGGAAGUACUUUCCAUUGCAGAGCAACUUUUCAUUUGGUUAAAAUUAAAUGUGCAAUGAGGGAAAAUCAAUAUUUAUUUAUACUAAAAGUUUAUAGUAGGCUUUGCAAUUUGAUUGGCUGAGGAUUAUUCAACCGCUCUGUUCAAUAUCUUUUUUUUUUUUUUGAAACGACUCUGUUCAAUAUCUUAAGUGGCCAAUACAUCACCAUCUUUGAAGACUCGUAAGCACUUCAUGUUUUGCAACAUUCGACCAACGGGAAAAAGCACUUCAUUAAUACCCCGUGGAAAAUAUAGAUAAAGUUAUUGUAAACUAUAAAUUUUUCCAAUAGUUUGAUGGAGAUAAUAAUAACUAAUAAAAUAAAAGUUGACUGAGAGAAUUUAAAUAAUUUAACCAUAUGUUUGGAUUUCCAUUGCAUUAUCAGUCAAUUUAUUAAAUAAUGUGUUUUGAGAAGAAUUUGAUUGGAUGUUUGAUAAUUUUAAAUUAAUUUAUUAGAAAAUCAAUAAUUAAUCAACGUAAAUCUUCGUAUAUGUUUAGUUAGUGUGGCGUUUUCUGAAAUGACAAAAAACAUAAAUGUUAUUUGAAGCUCUUGUGACCCCUUGUGUUCAUGCAUUUGAAUCAAAGCUACUAAAAUCAAAGAUAUUGGGAAUCCUUAAUAAGGAAAGUUUCCAUUGCUAUAAACUUUUAAAUGUUAUUUUAUAUGAUGCACGACAUACGGAGAGGUGCAGUUUAAAUACGCAAAUAAUUUAUUUAUUAUAACAUGCAAUCAUUGAGUUAAAGUGCAAGCGUGAGUUUGGGUUUGAAAUAUUCAAAUAAUUUAUUUAAUUAUUGAUUCUUAAAUAACAUGCUUUGGAAUUAAUAGUUCGAUAGGAUGUUUGAUAUAUUAAAAUUUGUGAUAAUCAAUAAUCAACUAAUUUUCAUUCAUAUUUAAAGAUUUUAAUAAAUUACUCAUAAAAUUGUGGCGUAUAUUGAAAUGACAAUCAAUCUUGAUAUUGACUGACAAUCAAUUUUUAUAGUGAUUUGCACUUAAGACAAUCAGUUUUGGUCUCCGUAAUGACUAAUGAAGAAUUGUAAGCCUGAAAUUCCACAUGUUGCAAUGUUGGACCAAUGAGGGAAAUGCUUCAUUAACAUUACAUGGAAAAUAAAUGUUGACUGACUUUCAAAUUAGACCAACAUACAAGUAGUCGUCAAUUCUAUUUUUUCCAACAGUUGAUAAAGAUGGCUAGUUAAGAAAAAAAAAGUUGAUUGAGAUAAUUUAAAGAAUUUAAGCGUAAGUUUGGGUUUGAAAUUAUCCAAUUUAAAUGACAACUACGUGGAAAAUAAAAAUUUUGCAUAUAUUAUUACAACUACGUGGAAAAUUAAAGUUGACUGACUUUCAAAUUAAGCCAACAAACAAGUGGCCAUCAAUUCUUUUUCCACUAACAAUUAGUGGCGACGGUCAAUACUAUAAAAUAAAAGUUGACUAAGAAUUUAUGUAAUUUAAGAGUAUGAUUGGCCUUUUAUUGAAUUGUAUGAUUGGGUUUGCACUGAAUUAUUAAAAAAUCUAUUCAAGGAUUUAUAUUCUAAAAUAUUUAGUGAGUUUAGAAAAUUAUUUUAUUUGAUUUUUGUUAAUUUUUUUUAUUAUUAUUAGAUGGCCAACAAUUAAUCAAGUAAUUUUCCAUAUAUAUUUGAUAAUUUACUCAUAAAAGCGUGGACUACAUUCAAAUGACAUUUUAUAUGAUGUAUGAUAGAUGUAGAGGUGAAAUUUAAAUAGGCUUAAUUUUAUAAAUAAAUACAUAUGUAUUGCAGCAUUCAAUCAUUGUGUUAAAGCGCCAAUUACGGUGACCACCAAAGCCUGUGAAUGAUUAGUCCAUCGAAACCCAAUGUAUGCUCAAUUAAUAUUUCCUAUCAAGAUCAAAUUUUUAGCUCUAUUGCUUCACCAAUCAUGAGCAUAAAAGCUCGAUUUAUACAAAAAUUACGAAUUUAUGAAAAAAAAAGUCACAAUUAUUAUAAUUGGAAGUUUGAUUGAUUUUUAAAGAUUGAUUCAAUCAAUCUUAAUGUUACUGGACAAUCGAUCUUAAUAUUAAUUCAAAAUCAAUCUUUAUAGCAAUUGGCACAAAUAAAGAUAAUUAGUUUUGGUCUCUAUAAUGACUGACGAAGACUUGUAGGACCUGGACCAAUGAGGAAAAACGCUUCAUUAAUACUCCAUGGAAAAUAAAUGUUGACUGACUUUCAAAUUAAGCCAACAUACAAAUGGUCGUCAAUUCUAUUUUUUACAAAAAUUGAUGGAGAUAGUCAACUAAUAAAAUAAAAUUGAUUGAGAUAAUUUAAAGAAUUUAGGCGUAAGUUUGGAUUUAAAUUAUCAAAUAAUUUAUUCCACUAUUGAUACUUAAAAAAAUGCUUUGAAAUUAAUAAUUCAAUAGGAUGUUUGAUAAAUUGGAAUUUGUGAAAAUCAAUAAUCAGCUAUUUUCACAAUAAACUGAGAUUUUUUUUUUUUUGAAAGCCAAUAGAAACAUGAAUUAUAGUACAUCCAUCGAUUGACGUAUAAUUAUAAUCAUAUAAUCAAACACGCACACUACAAGGCGACCUUCGAUUGACGUAUUCUGUCAACUAACCCAGGGACAUGGAGGAUGCGUGUUGACGUUAACCAAUAGCUAAGUUUAUAAACACAAUCAAGCAAUCGUAUCAUCAAUCAGAGCCACAUUCGACGCACGACUAGUAAAUAUCAUAAUUGAGUUUGAGGACCACAGCCGCACAGUGAAAGAAUUUGAAUGAAGGAAAAGUAAAAGAAAAUGAAAAGGAAAAGAGGGGAAUGCUAAAGAAAAAUAAGCUGAUUCAUCAGUAACUCCAUAUGACAUUUGCACACAACUUUUGGAUGUUUUUAGCCUCCGUGUGAAUCAAAAUAAUUAACACAGACGUCCUGCGUGUCACAUGUAACGAGCUAAUUCUGUUAAGGCCUUCACUCCAUAGUCUUAAGAUCUCAGUGAACAAUAAAUUCUUCAGAUUCAUAUGGCAAAUGAAUUGCACAACAAGGCAGAAACCCCGCUUCAAAGCAACCGGCUAUAAUUAAUACAUAAAAAGUUCAAUUGCUCAUAAAAGAAAGAUACAGUAAACUAGUGGUAUUGUAGUAUAAACAAUACUGGUUUUUCUAUCUUGGUGGUUUCUUGAUAGUGUUCAAAUAUCAGUGCUCGAAGAAAGAUAGAGGAAAGCCAAGGAAAAAUAAGCUAAUUCAUUAUUGACAUCAUAUGAAGGAGGUUCAUCAUCAUCAAACCAUGAACUAAGAGUUUCAAUUACUGUUUCAAAAAUGCCUUUCUAAAAUUACGAUAAAUUUAAUAGCUAAUAGAAAUAUUUCAUUAUAUAAAUCAAAUUUCAAAACUUGUAAGGAAAAAUGUAAAAAUAUUGGUUUUCAAAUUAUUUUCUAUAUAUUUUUUUAAAUUUAAAAUUAGUGAUAGAGUCAGUCAACCAAUAAAUCAUCAAGAAUUAUCUAUUGCGUCCCCAAUUUGAUCAGCAUUCUUGAAAGCAUGGAAAAUUUCCAGUUUUUACAAGUCAAGCGUGGAGUGUACGUUUUUAUGUCAACUAACCCGGGGACAGGGGUCAUAAUUGAUAGAAAUUAACCAGUAGUCAAGCUUAUGAACACAAUCAAGCAAUCAUAUCAUCAAUCAAGGCCACAGUCAAGGCACGACUAAUAAAUAGCAUAAUUUAGUUUGAGGACGACAGCCUUACAGCAAAAGAAUUUGAAUAAAGGAAAAGUAAAGGGAAAUGAAAAGGAAAACCGAGUAAAGCCAAAGAAAAAUAGGUUGAUUCAUCAUUAACUCAAUAUGACAAUUGCAGAAAACUUUUGGAUGUUUUUAGCCUCCGAAAUUUCAACAUCAAUUAUAAAUUACAGAUAUGUGAAGGAAAACUUAGAAACCAAUUUUUAUUAACAAAGAAAAUGUUAAAUAAAAUAAAAUAAAAGAUUGUGUGAAAAUGUUGAAAACUAAUUUCAACAUCAAGGCAUGUCACAUGCAAUAAUUCAUGUCACGCAUGUCGCGCGUUUCUUUAUUUUGCCGUGUGAAUCAAAAUCAUUAACAGAGACGCCGCGCAUGUCACAUGCAACUAACUCAUAUUUGUAAGCACAUAUAUAUUGCAGCAUUCAAUCAUUGAGUUAAAGCGCCAAUCACGGUGACCACCAAAACUUGUGAAUGAGUAGUCCAUCAAAUGUUGUGGGCGGUGAAUUAAUAUUUCUUAUUAGAAAAUCGAGUAGAAUAGUACAUGGACCUAACUCAUUUAUAAAAAUUAGUUCAAGAGUUGAAGGUUAUUUAAGCAGUAUAUACUUGAAUCAAUAUCAAUUUUUUCACUCUAUUAAUUCAUCAAUCAUGAGCAUAAAAGCUCAAUUUAUACAAAAAUUAAUUUUGUGAAAAAAAUGUUGCAAUCAUGAGUCAUUAUAAUUAGGAAUUUGAUUGAUUUUUAAAGUUUGAUUCAAUCAAUCUUUAUGUUAUUGGACAAUCAAUCUUGAUAUUGAUCGACAAUCAAUCAUUAUAGUGAUUAGCACAGAUUAAGACAAUCAGUUCUGAUCUCUAUAAUGAUUAAAGAAGACUUGUAAGACUUAGAUCAAUGAGGAAAAAUGCUUUAUUAGUACUUUGUGUCUAUUAAGUAUAGUUUAUCUAAUGGUCAUAAGUGCUUCUUUAAUCUCAUAAUCUCUUAUCAAAAAUUUUGUCGUUUGAUUAUCUUUUUAGUAGAACUUUUGAAAAUUAAAUAAGAUAUUUUGUCUCUACUAACAAAAGAUAAAAAAUUUUAAGAGUAGAGAUUAAAAAACUUUUUUUAAAUAUUAAAAUGUCUAAAAUAUCCUUUACUUUUGACAAUCUUAUUUCAUUCUUUUCAUGACAUAAUUUAAGAACUUGUUUAUUAAACUAAUUUUAUAAUUUUUAAUAAAAAUUCUUCUUGACAACCAAACAAAUAAAUUUUUUUGCGUAUAAGUUUUACUUAUAAAAGCUCUACUAACAAAACCUCUAUUUAAAUAAACUCUAUUUAAAAAGUUAUGCCAAACCGAACCUUCGUGAAAAAUAAAUGUUAAUUGACUUUGAAAUUAAGCCAACAUACAAGUGGCCGUACGUCAAUUCUAUUUUUUUUCCAAUAGAUGAUAGAGAUAGUCAACUAGUGAUAAAAGUUGAGAUAAUUUAAAGAAUUUAAGUGUAAUUUUGGGUUUGAAAUUAUCAAAUAAUUCCCAGUCUAAAGCUAGGUGGAAGUAAUAGACGUCUUGAAAAUCAAUAAUGUUAAGAAUCUUAAUAUUUGAGUCCCAACUUGAGUCUCAAUAUUAUGCGUCCCUCAUUUAUUGGAUGAUGGAUUUCAUAGUUACUAAAAUUACUUAACUACAAUGUAAUGGAUGAAUGCCACAUCAAUUGAGACUUAAAUGUUGAGAUACCUAUCAUUGCUCCUUGAAAAUAUUAAACAAAAAAUUAGAAUUCUUUUUGGUCGUUUUAGGUAGCGUUUGGUUUUUUGUCUGCAAUCUGAAUAGAUCUUAAUUAGUCUGAAUUCUGAAUAGAGUUGAAUUUCUUAAUCUGAAUGAUAUGUUUGUUUUUUUAUCUGAAUCACUAAAAAUAAAUAUUAUGUUGUUUUUUAACUAAAAAAAAUGAAAAUUAAUAUUUUUUACAUUUAUGCCCUUACAAAUUAUAAAAUGUUAGACAAAUAAUAAACAUCUCAAAGAAUAUAAAUAAAACAAUAAAUGUCAUAACAUAAAUCAUAUUCAAUUGAAUACAACUCUUUAAUAUUCUAUAUUAUAUAUGUUAAUUAAUUUUAUUAUAGUUUAUGAAAUUAAUUAUAGUUUAUCAUGUUUUUGUAUAAAAAUAUUAAUAAAAAAUUAUAAAGAUAAAUAAUGCUAAUUUGAAGAAAAUAAAAAGAUAAAAAUAAUAAUAAUUUACCACUAAACACAUGGCCCAAAGCCUCUAUCUAUGUUCAAACAGGCCCCAAAGGCCACAUCAUCUCUGUAUCACUGUAACCGGAGAAGGGUCAUGUCCAAUAAUUUUACAAACAAUAGUUUACACACAUAUACAUAAACAUAUAAUCACAUAAUCACAUAUGAAAUCUCAUUUCCUUUUCAUUUAACAUAAUUUGAAUCUAAUUCCUUUUCUUUAAAAUAUUUCAAAAUCAGUAAUAAAAUCAUCAAUCAUACACAUCUUUAAUCAUGAACACUAAUACGUAGAUAAAAUCCAUUUUUUUAAAAAAAAUCAGAGCCUUUAAAACUUAUUUCGUAAACAUGCUUUACCAUAUUUUAAAAUCAUAAUAAACUAUAAAAAAAAUAGAUUUUGUAUAUUCCACUCAUAGUAACGAUGUUCAAACUCGGAUAUCGUCCUUACCUGCGGACUAAUUCUCGCUUGCAGAUCCACUUAAAUCAAGGAAAUGACAUAAUUACAUAAAUCGAAAUUAGGACUAAAUUUAAGCAAUUAAUUCAAAACAAACAUUUAUCUAUAAUUUACAACUUUCUUGUCGAUAAAAUUACUAAAAUACUUUCGAGUCCGUAAAUUAUUAAAAUAUUGCAAAAUCAUAAAUCACCAAAUCACCUCGGAAUCGUAAUUACAACCAAUACUCAAUUUCAGAAAUUACAAAAUCACCCUCAAAAUGUGAAAUUACCGAAUUACCCUCACCGGAAGACCGGAAUUCAGUAAACGGUAGCCGGGAAGCUCGGGUCUGAUAUUUCUAAUCACGCUGAGUCUAAUAGUGCCGGCAGUGAGCUCCCACGCGCGGCAACAGCGGCGGGUCGAGCUUCCCAAGCCGCAAACUUUCCGGCAGUCGUUCGCGGCCAAAACGGCUGUUUCCGGUAGCGGGGAUGGUCGAAAAAUGAUGAGCAUGAGCUGAGGAUCAAGAUUCACGCGGUGGCGUCACCCAAAACCGGCUGAACCGACGGCGAGAAAGGGUGGGUUUUACCGCGGCUUAUCGAGCUUGAUUGCCGGCGUUUUGACUGUUACUCGGAAACGGUGAUGGCAGGGAUAUGACGACCAGUCUUCAAGCUUCAGAUUGGUACCUUGCUCGGCCGGUGAGGUGGCCGGAAAGCGCAGAUAUGGCCGGAUCGGGUUCGUGGGUGUGGGUCGGGUUUCGGGUCGGUCUACAGCUCCUGUCACUCUCUCACACGUGUGUAUGUGUUCCCCUGUUUCCAGCUUCUUCUUUUAUUUUUAUUUACUUUUUAACCGCCUCAUUUUUUUUUUCCCACAUGUGUUACAUAUCAUGUGUUACAUUUUUUUUUCCCACAUGUGUGAAUAUAUGAGUCUUUUAAAAAGGGUACUCGCACUUUAUAAAAAGAGUAAUGCUAUAAAUAAAAAAUUUGUUGAAAGAACUGAAUUUUUAUUUAUGAUUUGAAGAUUUUUUAUUUUUUAUUUUUUUGUUUAUUUUUGUUUUUAUUUUAUUUUUAUUUUUUGCCACAAGUCAGUGUGUCGAAAAGCAAUUUUUUUUUUAAAUUAGUGAUAUAAAAAAGGAUCAAACAUCAUACUUGAGAGAUUUUUUUUUUCCAUAUUUGCCAUAUAAAUGUGCGGGUUAUAUUUGAGAAAUUCUAAAGAAAAAUAUACUGAAAAUAGUAAUAAUUGGUACUGAUACACUUCAACCUAAAAGGUUCAAUUUAUACAUGUGUUAGAAUUAAAAAAAAAAUGAAAUGACACGAUUAGAAUAAUUUGGGAACGAUUGAUUGACAAAGAUUGAUCAAUCAGUUUUUUUUUUUCCUUUAAUCUACAAACAUUAAGACAAUUAAUCAUGUGUUGACUAUCAGCACGAUCAAUCAUAUGUUGAUUUUUAUUUAUAUCAAUUUUGUUUUGUUUCUUUGCUGCUUCUCUCAAAUUGGCGAGGAAAUAUUUUUUGAACUCCGAGUUUGUAUUAAGAUGUACAUCCUUGAUUUUUUUUUUCUUUUUUCAUACUCAAUUAAACCAGGAAGUCAUUCAUUUAAACCUAAUCACGGAAAUCGGGGGGGGGGGGGGCAUGAAAAACCGUUAACUCAUUCUUUUGAUCAAGGAACUUUUUUCAAUUAGAAAGUUGUUCCUUUGAUCUUUGAAAGUAAAGGAAAAUAAGCUGAUUCAUCACUAACUCACUAUGACAAUUGCACACAACUUUUGGAUGUUUUUAGCCUCUGAAAUUUCAGCAUGAAUGAUAAAUUACAAAUAUGUGAAGGAAAACUUAGAAACCAAUUUUUGUUCUCAGAGAAAAAAAGAGUGCAGAGAAAAUAAAAACGGAGGAUUUCAUGGAUCAUAUUUGAUAACUGAUAUUCCUAGUGCAAGGCUGAACAUAAUUCUUUGGCGUCUGAACUAAAACUCUGAAUUAAAAUGUUAACAGAGACAUCACGCGUCACAUGUAUCUAACUUUGGCGCCAACUUGGGUAGAAAAAAUUCUCUAGAUUCAUAUGAGAUACGGCAGAUGAAUUGCACAACAAGGCAAAAGAGGGGGAAAAAAAAGGGAUACAGUAAACUAUGGCCUAGCACGAUCACAGAUGAAUUUGGUUUAAAGUACACUCUGCUGGCUGCAUAUAGUUUCGUAUUGAACCGACCCGCUCCAAACUUAAAGCACAAGUCUGAUAAGUUUAAUCUAACGUGACUAUUAUUAAUACGAAUCUUGUUGAAAUUUCGGUAGAAUCUCCCUAUAUUUGUGACAUUUCCAACCUACAAAAUUUCCUUAUAUUAAAUUAAUUUCAUUAAUCAAUCUCCCCAAACAUAAUACCACACAGCAUAGUAAAUAAUAUGCUUAAAUGAUCUCAUUCAAAUGUCACCCAAUUUUUCUAAUAGUAUCAAAAAGGUUAUAUUGUAGCUAAUGCCGGUACACAUUAAACAUUCAUAAUCAUCAAAUGAUAAUAUAAUUAUACAAUCCAAAAUUAGAUAAUCAAAAUGUCCUCAUAAUUUAUCUAAGUCUUCUAGCACUAUCACUUGGCCAAAAUCAAAAUAACUACAAUAAUUGGGUCAACUAGUGUACCUACAAUCUCCUAUGAGGGAAAAAUUUAGUAAAACAUAGUAAAUAUAAAACUCAGUGAGUGGAUAUUGAGUUUUAGAAAUAAGAUUACUUUAAAAUAAUUAUAUCAUUACAACAUGCAAUUCCAUUAAACUAUAUGUAAAAAUAUAAGUACAAUUUUUAAACUUUAAGUCAAGUAAUUAGCUAGUAUUAAAAAGGAAUACAUGAUGUUCAUAAUAAUAAUAAAAAUCAUAUUAAGAAAGAACAUAUAUACAUGAUUUUAAAAUUAUCACUAAACAAGUACCCAAGGGAAUAAUCUUGUCAUACCCUCAUACAGGCGGUUUAAUGAUGCACUGGAUAAGGAUGACAAAAUUCGGGUUCGGGUCUGGGUUUGGCCGUUCCAAUUCCGGAUCUGGAUAUAAAACCAGAUAGUUUAUCUCUAGAUUCGGUCUGGGUUUAUCCGGGUUCCGGGAUUGUGGAUUUCAAAACUCAUAUACCUUUAUGAAUUAUUUCUUUUUUAAGUUCUCCAAUAGGCCAUGGAUACAAUGGGGAAAAAACAAACACCUACAUAGCAAUUUCACCUAGAAAAGUAGAAGCAGUACUAGAAUGUGAACUGCAACUUAAAUCCAACCACACAACAAAUAAGCAAUGAAAAGAACACAAGCUAAAAACAUUACAAACACAUAUUAUCUCCCUCAUCACCAUCUUCAACCUCACUAGACUCAGUACCAACCUCCUCAUAAUCCUUCUCCAAAGUCGCAAGAUCCUCACGGGCUUCAAAGAACUCACCUUCCUUUAUGCCUUCUUAGCAUACAUCAAAUCAAUUUUGUGGUCAAUGCGAGAAAACACCUUAACAACACUAGUUAAGUUCGAUAUCAUGCACAUAGCCCUCUACACCUUCGCAAGAUCACCACCUAGAACAACAGUUGGAGGCUGGUAAUUGAUACCACAUUUGAAUCCAGUUUAUCAUCAGUCAACAAAUUGAAUGGUAGCUGAUGAUGAUAAUGAUCAACACAGCUGUGAAGGCUAAGCGAUGAUGAUGAAAUAGGUAAUUGUUGGUGCUCUGUGUUAGAUUGAUAACGAGAAGAGGAAAAUGAUUGGCGGCUAUAUUGAGGAGAAGUUAUAAAGUGUAAAACUAGGGUUUCCUGUCAUGACCCAACCCAGACCUGACAAGAUAUUGUUCGCUUUAGGCCUUAACAAGGCCCGCACGGAUUUGUUCUUGGGGUGCCCAUACACCCCAAAACGCGUCUUACCAAUUAAGGUGUAGAUCACCCCUUAUAUACCCAGCAUCUCUCCCGUGCUUUGCCAAUGUGGGAUUCGCCUAGGGUGUUACAUACACCCCCCCCCUUGGGGACUCAGCGUCCUCACUGAGGUUUGCCCCACCAUCGCUCAAGAGGACAUGCGGAGCCGCUCUGAUACUAUAAUGUCAUGACCCAACCCAGACCUGGCAAGAUAUUGUCCGCUUUAGGACUUAACAAGGCCCGCACGGAUUUGUUCUUGGGGCACCCAAACACCCCAAAAUGCGUCUUGCUAAUUAAGGUGUAGAUCACUCCUUAUAUACCCAGCAUCUCUCCCAUGCUUUACCGAUGUGGGAUUCGCCUAGGGUGUUACAUACGCCCCGCCUUGGGGACUCAGCGUCCUCGCUGAGGUUUGCCCCACCAUCGCUCAAGAGGACACGCAGAGCAGCUCUAAUACCAUAAUGUCAUGACCCAACCCAGACCUGGCAAGAUAUUGUCUGCUUUGGGCCUUAACAAGGCCCCCACAAAUUUGUUCUUGGGGCACCCAUACACCCUAAAAUGCGUGCCAAUUAAGGUGUAGAUCACCCCUUAUAUACCCAACAUCUCUCCUGUGCUUUGCCGAUGUGAGAUUCGCCUAGGGUGUUACAUUUCCUCGUUCAUUUUUUAUUCUUUUAAUUUUUUGGUUUUCUAUUUAUGUUAAAAAUUUAAAAAAAAUAUAAUAUUAAGAAUAAGGAUAUCCAGGUUCGGGUUUCAGAUAUGCGAGUUGACUCAAUACUAGACCCGAACCUGAAUACAUCAAGGUUCAUGAUAUUGUUGUUGGAUUCCGGAUGUUAUUUGUAUCCGGUAUAGGUUGAACCUGGUCCAAAUUAUCUGGGUUCAUUCGGGUCCUGUCUGGGUAUGGGUUAUUUUGCCAUCCCUAGUAUUGGAAGUGUACUAUCGUGCUCAGAGUUACAACAGUAGACCUCAAUAAUUAGAUUUCUAUAUCUUAUAAUACUAAUAAAUCAUCCACAUUAUCACCAAGCUCAUUAUUGACCAUGAACUAUCAAAAAACACACACACACACACACGAAAGCAUAUGAAUUGAGGAAACGGUGAAGGCCACGCGUUUCAUCUCUACAAUGCCUUGUAGGUGUCCUUGUGCACCUAAAAUGAUCUACCAAUUACAAAAAUUAACUUGGGACCAAUUUUAUCCAUUUGUUCGGAACCUUAACUAUAAACAAAGCAUACUAGUCUUUAAAUUAACUUUAUUCCCAUGCAAAUGCAACUUCAAAUAAAGAUAAAAUGAUAGAAAUCUUGCUCCCUUUGGUGAGAAAUUCAACUUGAAAGCUUGAAUCAUUUCCCUCUAACUCAAAUCCUCUCUCUACAAUUCCUACAUUUAAAUUCCUUCUCAAAUCCAAAUGAAUUUAAGGAUAAAAAUACUCUAAAAUAACUCUCCAAUUCAAGCUGUGAAGGGUCAAAUUCAAUUUUGGAAAAAUCCUAACUCAUGAAAAUUUCCCCAUUGUCUUCCUCUCAGGCCCGUGAGCUUUUGCGAAGAAGUGGUAAGUGCUUUCUUUUUUAACGAGCUUUAUAGAUAAGGAGAUCAGCUUAUAUAUAUUCAUAAGUUAUUAUUAAUAACUUUAUAAGUCAAGGUAUUAAACAGAUUUACUGAAUACAAGAGCAAAGUUGUAGUUUAUUUGGUGAACUCUGAAGGCACCAAUUGUAACAUCCAUUUCUAGCAUAGAUCCCCCUCUCCCCCCAAAGAAAUCUAACAUGCUUAUACAGAUCACAUACAGGAUUCAAACUUUAGAAGAUUCUGAACUAUUUAUGGCCAUAGAUAAGGUCAACUGAUUUAGUUAGUAGGCAAUGAUGGAGGGUUGCUUGGUAAAGCUGUUAGAUCUUUAGAAAUUCAGAGAAGACGGGCAGCAACGAGUGAUAAUUUUUGUUUUCCCCCAUAGCCUUGAACAAAGUGAGGAGAAACCAUUGAUUCGCUUUAUGCAAUGGAUGGAUAUUAUAGAUCUAUCUUUUUUUUAUUUAACGGUUGUUAUUAUUGAUUCUAGAAAAACAUUUUUGGAUUUGGCUGUCUUAAAACGGAGUUUUUCCAUUUUUAAAAGAAGAGUCCCAGGUUCCAAACCAUACUGCCAUGGCUUCCAAAUCGCUGUCUUACAAAGAAGUAGCUAUGGCACCACCAGGCAC